rnacentral:lncRNA from 1 species
GACUUGGAAUAUCUAACCAUAUCUAGUUACGGAGGGUUGGAUUUGCCAAAUUGGAUGAUGACAUUGACCAGAUUACAGGUGCUUACACUCCGUUAUUGUGAAAACGUGGAGGUCUUGCCUCCGUUGGGAAGAUUGCCCAACCUUGAAAGCCUGGUAUUGAGCUCGUUGAAGGUGAGAAGGCUGGAUGCUAGAUUUUUAGGUAUAGAAAAGGCUGAGAAUGCCAGUAUUGAUGAAGGAGAAAUUGCAAGGGUCACUGCUUUCCCCAAAUUAAAAAAACUUUGGAUUGAGGGUCUCGAAGAAGUAGAAGAGUGGGAUGGAAUUGAAAUGAGAGUAGGAGAAGAAGAUGCCAACACAACUUCAAUAUCCAUUAUGCCACAACUUCGAGAGUUGAAAAUUCAUAAAUGCCCAUUGCUGAGAGCACUACCAGACUAUGUUUUGACAGCGUCAUUACGGGUGUUUGAACUCGAUGAUUGUACAAACAUGGAGGUCUUGCCUCCGUUGGGAAGAUUGCCCAACCUUGAAAGCCUGGCAUUGAGGUCGUUGAAGGUGAGAAGGUUGGAUGCUGGAUUUUUAGGUAUAGAAAAAGAUGAGAAUGCCAGUAUUAAUGAAGGAAAAAUUGCAAGGGUCACUGCUUUCCCCAAAUUAAAAGAGCUUGGCAUUAGUUAUCUCGAAGAAGUAGCAGAGUGGGAUGGAAUUGAACGGAGAGUGGGAGAAGAAGAUGCCAACACAACUUCAAUAUCCAUUAUGCCACAACUUCGAGAUUUGAUGAUUGUUAAUUGCCCAUUGUUGAGAGCACUACCAGACUAUGUUUUGGCAGCGCCUCUACAGGAAUUAUUCUUUAGUGGUUGCCGCAAUCUAAGGAAACGUUACGGGAAGGAGGAGAUGGGUGAAGAUUGGCAAAAGAUUUCUCACAUCCCAAACAUUUAUUUUCAUGAUAUAUAGGUGAGAAAGACAGAAUUCUUUAAUUAGAACCGGCAGGAACCGGUAAAUUCUUCUAUUUUACUGUAUUUUAACAAAUCUAUUUUCGGCUCUCCAUUUUUUCAUUAAUGUAAUUUAAUUCAAAAAUAAGUGAAAAAUACAAAUUAAUUAAUUAAUCAUUUGUUGAAUUGGAUAUAAUUAUGUCUUUCCCUUUCUCCUCAUUCAUUUAAACAUAUAUAAUCAACCUUAAUAUUUUUAUAUCAUUAUCACAACAAUAAUUUCAUCAUAUUAGUUGGAAUUCAUGAUAAUCUUUAUUAACUAAUCAAUUUGUUAAAAAUAUACUUAUAGCUAGUCUUAAAUAUAUUUUAUUUUUCAAAUUUCUUUUAUUUUAUAAAAAAUACACAAUUAAUCUAUAAUCAUUCUUCCCUUCAUAUAAAGAAUACACAAUUAAUCUACAACAAUAUUAAUAAUAAGAACGUAUUUUACCAUUACAUCUUCUAUAAACCUUAACACCCACACAAUUUUAAUUUCAUCAAAACAUAUAUUUAAUCAAGUUUUUCUAAAUUUUGUCAAAACUAGCAAUAGAUUCAAAAAGUAAUAAGUCAUUCAUCUUAUAUUUUAUUUUCAAAACCAACGGUCAAAAUAUAGAUCUCGAAAUUGUGCACAAUAUAUCUCAAAAUCAAAAAUAUCUAACAGUUGAAUCUCCCUAGAUCUGAAUAAAACCAAGCUAACUUGAAAAUUAACGAGCUAUUGUUCAACAUAAACGACACCUUACCGGAGAGUGUGUUUCCUAUCUCCACCGUCCAGAAUGAAGACAAUAUUUAGGCGCACCACAUAUCCAAAAAUAGAUAUGAUCCAACGGUGGAAGAGAGAGAAAUCAGUCGGCGACCAAAACUUCCCUGCAAGUGUAUUUUCUUUUGUUUUCUAGGAAAUUUCCGAUGAUGAUUUCCGUCAAACGGAUUGUGUGCUUUCAAAUCCCUCCGAUCAGUUAGUACAGGAGAAUGAGAAGAACAAUAUAUCCACAAAUCAGCAUGAUUCAACGGUGUUUGCCAGAGAUAUGGUCACCAGCUCCUUCAAAUUCUACACUUCUCUUUCUAGCCGAAUUUGCUCUAUUGUCUCUCACCUCUUUUUAUUUUGGACUGGUUGGCUGCUAUUUUAAAGGCAUAUUUUUCAUUAAUUAAAAUUGUGUUCCUUAUUUAUGCUUUUAUGUAUUUUAUUUUAUUUUUCAUGUAAACUAUCCGGUUUGUUUCUGCUUAAAUCACUAGUCUUUACCGAACUCUGAUUGGGAUGAGUUCUUUAACAAAGUUAGGAAAACAUAUUAAUAGAUUUCAUGCAAAAUUACAUUCCAAUUCAACGAUUGGAUUGAAAGGUCUUCUUUCUAACGUAAUACUAGUUAAUUCAUAACUUUUCAUUGACCAUCUAGAUUUUAUUUGAAGCAACCCAAAGAAAAUGGAAUGCUCCUUUUAACAUUUACCUUUCAUUGGAUUGUUUUGGUUAUGACACGUUUGCUUCUGGUCUGUAUUUGGCAGCUUGGGCUUAGAAGAUACUUCAGAGCUACUUCAGAGGGGGUUCCGAUUUGGUCCUGCGUUGUGAUUUACUUCUUUGAGUGUAUUAAUUAUUUAUUAUUGAAGUAAGGAGAAAGGAAUUGAAUUUAGAAUGCUAAAAGUAAGCCAUGGGGGCAGCUGAAGCACAGAGGUAGUAAUUAAGCAAGUAAUCUAGCUAGAUUGCUGCCCUUGGAAGUUAUUAGUGUCACUUCCAAUGCAAGUUCUCUACAAUUUUUAAUCUUUGUAUGAAGGCUUCAUGCAUGAAAUAAUUUAUUGCUGGAGGAGGAGCAGGGGCCCUAGCUGCUGUUUAAUACCGAGGCACUUUGUAAUUUUUAAAAAUGUUUUAUUUUUAUUUUUAUCUAAAGAUAUAUUAAAAUAUCUUCUUAGAUUUGUUUUUAUUUUUUAUACUAAUACAUUAAAAUUAUAAAAAAACAUUAAAAAUAUAUUAAUUUGAUUUUUUUUAAGCCAAGUGCACUUUUAAUUUAAAAUACUUCUAGACAUAAUUUCAAACGUAAAAACAAAAAGAUUUAUGAAUCUUAUCAGCCCCAAGGUUGUGUGGUGCAGUUAUUAUUGUAAUGUAGAUACAUUUUUUUAAAUCAAUAUGUUUGUAAAAUCUAAAAGUUAACUCUUUAUUUAAAUUAUUUAAAUAACAUGAUAUGAGAUAUCAUGCAUAAUUAUUAGAUUAAUUAAUUCUAAAAAUUUAAUUAAUUAAUUCUGAAAUUAACAAUAAAAAUUAUUUAUGUUGCAUAAUGUAAAUUGUCAAAUCUUUUUUUUUUAACAUCUAAAUCUAUUGAGUUAAUGUAACUCGUAUAUAAAACUAUAUUUUAACAACAAAUUUUGUCCAUGCUUUUCUCAGAGGGAAGAUUGUUAAAGAGUUCAACUAAACCAUGAAAAAAAAAAUUCACGUAAUACCCAGAAGUAAAAAUCGAGGGACUUUUCGUUUCUUAUUCUUCGGUGUUUUUUUUUUUUUUUUUUUUUUUUCUUUCAUUUUUGUGAUUUCUUCUUCUUCUUGUUCUCUAAUGGUGUCUUCUUUAUCGAUCUUGUAUACGCUGAAAUUUAGACUGUGUUUGGAAAUGAGAUGUAAAUCAUGUCUCUAAAAUUUUGAGUUUUUUUUUUUGUUUAAAAUGAAUUGUUUUUUAUAUGUUUUCAUAUUUGAUGUGCUGAUGUCAAAAAUAAUUUUUAAAAAAUAAAAAAACUUUUAUUUUGAUGCAUUUCUAAUCGAAAAACACUUUGAACCCACACCACUACCACAAUCGCAAACAAGCCCUUAGCUUGGGUUUCGAAUGCGGGACGGCGUUGCGUCAAUACCAAGAGUGUUUUUUUUUUUUUUUUAGAAUUUUCAAAUUAAUUUUCUUUUUAAAAAUGGUAAUUAAAUUACUUGUUUUUAUGAUUUUAAUGUAUUAAUAUGAAAAAUAAAAAAAAUCUAAAAGACAUUAUUAUCUCAAUAUAUUUUAAAUAAAAAAAAACUUUAUACGCCCCUUGUAGACUCAGGUAAAAAGUUAUUUUUUAAAAAAGAAAUAAUUUAAUAAAAAAAAUAUUAUUUGAUUUUCUUUUAAAAAUAAUUAAACUUACAAACUCUAACCUUUUUUUGAGUCUGUUUGUCUACACGGCAAUUGUAGGACCCACAAAAAAUAGGUAGAAACACAAUUUCAUGAGAAGCAUCUUGCACCAGCUUCGACGACACUAUUAACUUUUGUUAAGUGAAAUAGUGCAGAGUGAAUUAAUUCACUCUGCACACAAAAAUGAACACGUGAACAGUAAAAAAAAUCUGAUUUUUUAUUUGAAAAAUUAGUGUUUAACAUUAUUUAAUGACACUACAUAAAUUAGAAGGAGAUCGCAUGAUGGCGUAACAUUUGCAUAAUUUUAUCGUAAUCCCAAUUUGUUUCUAAUGAUUUUUUAUCUAAUUUUGUUGUACGCUCAAAAAACCAUGAAAACUAUAGUCCUUGUAGGAUGAAUUUUGUAUGUGAUGGAAUUGUAGAUAGUUUAAUGGAACAAUAAUUUUUUUUUAUAUAAAAUAUUAUUUAUUUCAUAGUAUAAUAGCAGUAGUUAAAUCUAUAAUAUUUAAAUUAAAAACCAUUAAUAUUAAUAUAUAUCACCAAACACAUUAAAUAACUUUUUGUUCAACCUCAAUUUCAAUUACAAUUUUAACCAAAUAUAUAUAAAAAUAUCAAACCAACCUCAACCAAAAAUAUUUUUUAUAAAAUAAUUUUUUUCAAACAACAAUCAUAAAAAUUACUACAAUACAAAACACACUCAAAGUAAAGUUUUAAAAAUUAUGGUUAAAACUGGUUCAAGGCCUUCAUUGAGCCCAAUGUGAAGAGGCCCAACCUAGCGUCAUAAAAGCCCAAUAGUCUCUUCUCCGCCACCACCAGGCCAUGCCAUUUAUAUAAGCAAACGAAUAUGCUGCGAAGAGCUUAGGCCUGAAAACGGGAGAAAAGUUUGACACUGCUUUGUCUCCUAAAUAGACACCGGAUGACUAUUACACCCUUGUUAUGGUUUCUGAUUCAGCGAAAAGGAGGGUAUUACGGUAAUUGGAACAACUUGAAUCGAGAAUCUGAACCGCUGUAUUCCUCCGCAAAGAAGCACACACUAUUGAUAACUCGGCCAACUCGGUUGAUUACUCAAUGUAAUUAAUUAUAGCCUUAUUUUGAAUCACCAGCUUGCUACAAGUCUUCAAGCUUUGAAAUGACUGGUGGCGUACCACUAUUCCACUGGUAAGGAAAAGAAAUCUCUUCAAAGUCACCAAGGAACUCUUUUUUUAGACAAUAGUGGAGAUUUUAUUAAAAAUUUUGGCUAAAAUGAGAAUAGCCUGAUAAAAAAAAAAAGCAACAACAGAGAAGAUAAAAUAAAGAAGAUAUAAAAGCAACCAUCUAGUAGAUGGUCCAGUGAUAAGAGCUUGAAACUAAAUAUGCUUCUUCUGUGGUCUCAGGUUCGAGCCAUGAAGUUGUUAAUAUUGAUGGUCACUUGAAACUUACCUGGUCGUUAAUUUCAAGAUUUAUGAGGAUUAGUUGAGGUGCGCACAAUCUGAGCCGAACAACACACAUUAAUAAUAAUAAAAAAAGACCAAACAAUAAAUAAAAACUAGAAAUCAACUUCUGUUAUCCUCCAAAAAAUCCCGUUAUAGUUGAUCCCUAAAUCAAAUCGGUGUAAGCAAAAGUUGUGCUAUCAAACUUCAAGCAUAAAGAGGACCUAUGGACGACCAAGUAAAAAUAACCUUGAAAAUCUGGAGUCAUUGAAGAUUACAUCAUUUUGAUGUAGCCAUAGACUCCACGCAAUACAAGAAAAGAGAAGUCGUCAUGAAAGAUUAUGAAAUUUUCCUUGCACCAUUGGGAGCACAUAUUAUCAAUAAAAAUUGAGAAACAACCACUAAUAUCCCCAUCAAGAUAAAAAUUCCAUCCAUAACUUCCAGGAAAAAACACAUUGAAUAAAGAGAUGGCUUGAAGUAUCAAAACUUCUUUUACAAAACACCCAUCUAGCUUGCUGAAGAGAAAUGAAAUCAUGCUGGAACAAAAAAUCAUGUGUGAAGACUUUAUCUUGAAAAAGUAGCCAAAGAAACAAUUAAACUUUUCUUUUUUUAUUUUUUAUUUUUUGGGGAGGGGGGGUUUUAGGUUGAACACCACUAUAAAGCAAUAGAUCCAAGAGAUAUAAAGCAAUAGAUCCAAAAGAGAUGGAAACUGGAUUUUAUUGUACAAAGACCAUUUUACUAUACAGCAAAAAAUUAAUAGCAUUCAUAUCUAUUGUCAUGAUUAAUUAAGUAUUGAAAAAAAUAUCAAGAAAAAUAAUAUCAUAACAAAUAGAGAGUUCAAAAUUUUUGUUAAAAUUCAAAAGAAUGGUGAAAUGUCCUAUUUUUAGGGAUAAUGUCAAAAAUUUCACUAAAUUUAAAAAAGUGAUGAAAUUUCAAAUCAUCAGGGAUUAACAUCAUUUUUGUUAAAUUAUUUUUUUAUUUUAAAUUAAUAUCUUUUUGAUAUUUUUAAAUCAUUUUGAUGUGCUGAUGUCAAAAAUAAUUUUAAAAAAUAAAAAUAUAUUAUUUUAAUGUGUUUUAGAAUAAAAAAUACUUUAAAAAACAACUACUACCAUACUAUAUAGUGUCAUAAUUAAGUUGAUGCAGCGAAAUCAAACCCCCUAUAAAAAAAGAUUAAAGAUCCAAUUUAAUAAUUUGAUGAACUGAAAAUUAAGGAUUCAAUUUAAUAAUUUCAAGGAAUUUGAUAUGAUCUAUUACUUUCAAAUUAUAUGUAAUCUUCUUUUUUUUUUAAUGAAAAAGAGGUUUGAAUUCAAGAUUUUCUAGAUAGAAAAAUGCCAAUAUCAUUGAAGUUACAACUCAUUGAAGAUAGUUCAAUGCAUAUGAUAAUUAGAAAACUUGUUAUCCAUUAAUGCUAACAAGAUGAUCAAACUUGGAAAAUCAGUUUUUAUACAGUUGAUAAAUAAACCUGGUCCUCGAAGAACCUGCUUUCAAGUCUCGUUAAGGAACGUUUGGGAACGCGGUUGCGGUUGCGUUCCUAAAAAAUUUAAAAUUUUUUUUUCUAAAAUUUAAUAUGAUUUAUAUGUUUUGGAUCGUUUUGAUAUGCUGAUGUUAAAAAUAAUUUUUAAAAAAUAAAAAAACAUCAUUGACAUGCAUUUUAGCACAAAAAUUUAUUUGAAAAGCACCCACAACAACACUGUCAAACACGCUCGAAUUGCUUAGCCUGCAAGAACCCUAAUUCCCGCAAGAACCCUGCUUUGAAGUUUUUCAAUUGCAUGAGUUGCUUUUAUUUCCUCUGUCAUUCCCAUUUUCUUUGUUUAUCAUUUACUCCUCUAAUGGUCAUCCAAUCUUCUCUUUACUUCAGGUAUAUACGUACAUCACAUCAAUUUCAUUUUUCAACCUACAAGUUGUGCUCUCCCUUUACCACAGCCCUACAAAAACUAAUAAAAAAAUGAGACACUAAAAUACAAGCUUCACUAGUAAAAAAAGCUACAAGUUGCAAGAACUCCACCUGCAACACCAAACCCUAAGUAUAUAAUUAAACUAACUUCCAUUCACAAUCAGCCGCCUCCUUCCCUUCACCCUCUCUUUCUCUCUGCUCAUCCCAUCAUCAUUGCUUCUCUCUCUCUCUCUCUCUCUCUCUCUCCAAGCAGAACUAAACAGACGAUGGCCGAGGCACUUGUAUCUCCGAUCUUGGAGCAGUUAACCACGAUCGUUGUUCAAAAGGUAUUUUUCUACCAUCUGCAAUAACCUGAUUUACCUAGCAGGGAUAAGAAAUAUAAAGGUCAAGCCUUUUUUCUUCCUAUCAUAAAAAGAAUACUUUUAACUUGAAUAAAUAAAAAUAAUAUUUUAAAUCCUCAAGUAUAUAUUUGGAUUUCAUUAAAGAAUCUUCCUUUUCUUGUUUUAUUAUUUUUCAUAUUUCCAAAUAUAAUCUAAAGAAGAGUAGAGUUGCCAAUUCUCUUUAAACUAACUAUUAAGGGUAAAAUAAUCAAUAAAAAGUUCAAAGGAUUAGCGAGUGAGUAUUUGGUGUGAAUUAAAACUAUAUAGUUAACACACAAUCUUAUUAUCAUGGCUUUAUUUCUAAAUUGACUUCACAAAUAUAUACAUGCAGAUCCUUUUAUUCACUUGCCUUUAUACAUCCAUAUAUCUAUAGUUUAAUGUAAAAUGAAAACCAGAUUUUAUACCGGUUCAAAGGAGAAAUCCUUCUCUCGUGAGAACAUUGAACUCUUUCCAUGCCUAUAUUAUUAAUUAUAUAUAUAUAUAUACACGUACAGGUUUAACGUUUUACGAUUUAAGAUUCAUUUUAUACCUUCUUGUACAGUAGCAUAGUGCAUACUGAUAUCAUCAUAAUGAUGAUAAAAAGAAAAAAGAAAUAUUAUUAUUUCUAAUAAAUAUUUUUUAUAUAAAUUAUUAAUAUAGUCAAUCCAUUUCACAAUAAAAUAUAUUAAUACAAAAUUAAUAGAAAUGUUUCCUAUGCUUGAACUUCCUUGUCUUUUCUACACUAAUAGGUACUGGAAGAGGUGAACCUAGUAGGGGGUGUGAAAUUGUCUUAAAAUCACAGAGAUGUUUCCUAUGCUUAACUUUUCUUUUCCUUUGUAAACUAAUAGGUACAAGAAGAGGUGAACCUAGUAGUGGGUGUGAAGAAAGAAGUCGACAAGCUGAAAAGCAAUCUCCUUGAUAUCCAAUCUGUCCUUGAAGAUGCAGAUAGAAAACAAGUGAAGGAUAAGGCUGUAAGAGAUUGGGUAGACAAGCUCAAAGAUGCAUGUUAUGAUAUGGAUGACGUGCUAGAUGAAUGGAGCACUGCAAUUCUUAGAUGGAAAAUGGAGGAAGCUGAAGAAAAUACUCACAGCCGACAGAAGAUACGAUGUUCCUUCCUGAAAUCUCCUUGCUCUUGUCUCAAUCAAGUGGUUCGACGUCGCGACAUUGCCCUUAAGAUCAAAGAAGUUAGUGAAAAAGUGGAUGACAUUGCUAAAGAGAGAGCUAAGUAUGGCUUUGAUCUGUACAAAGCCACUGAUGAACUCCAGCGACUAACAACUACCUCCUUUGUUGAUGAAUCAAGCGUGAUUGGUCGAGAUGGUGAAAAGAGAAAUGUUGUAAGCAAGUUGCUGGCUGAAAGUAGUCAAGAAGCACGGGACGUGGAAGUCAUCUCUCUAGUAGGGCUGGGCGGAAUUGGAAAAACAACUCUCGCCCAGCUAGCUUUUAAUGAUUCUGAGGUUACGGCUCAUUUUGAGAAAAAGAUAUGGGUGUGUGUUUCAGAACCAUUUGAUGAGGUUAGAAUAGCCAAAGCUAUCCUUGAGCAGCUUGAAGGGAGACCAACGAAUCUGGUUGAAUUGCAAUCCCUUUUGCAAGGGGUUUCUGAAUCCAUCAAGGGAAAGAGGCUCCUUCUUGUCCUUGAUGAUGUCUGGACAGAAAAUCACGGACAAUGGGAAAAACUGAAACCAUCUCUCACAGGCUGUGCUCGAGGAAGCAGAAUUCUAGUGACCACUCGUAAGGACGCUGUGGCAACGAUGAUGGGAACUGACCACCGGAUCAACAUUGAGAAAUUGUCUGAUGAGAUAUGCAGGUCAAUAUUCAAUCACGUGGCAUUCCAGGAAAGAAGCAAAGAUGAGCGCGAAAGAUUGACAGAUAUCGGCGAUAAAAUUGCAAACAAGUGCAAGGGCUUGCCUCUAUGUAUGGACAGAAAAUCAUAGACAAUGGGAACAACUGAAACCAUCUCUCAAAGGCAGUGCACCAGGAAGCAGAAUUCUAGUGACCACUCGUAAACAUUCUGUGGCAACGAUGAUGGGAACUGACCACCUUUGCUUUUGAGUUACUACGAUUUACCUUCUGUGGUAAGACGAUGUUUCUUGUAUUGUGCCAUGUUUCCAAAAGACUACAAGAUGCGCAAAUAUGAAUUGGUGAAGAUGUGGAUGGCUCAAGGUUACCUCAAGGAGACUUCAGGUGGAGAUAUGGAGCUUGUUGGAGAGCAGUACUUUCAAGUCUUAGCAGCGCGCUCUUUCUUCCAAGAUCUUAAGGCGUAUCAAGAAGUUAUCAGAUUCAAGAUGCAUGAUAUAGUGCAUGAUUUUGCCCAAUAUAUGACAAAAAAUGAAUGUCUAACUGUGGAUGUCUAUACACUUGGAGAAGCAACAAUGGAGACUUCAAUUGAAAGGGUUCGUCAUUUAAGCAUGAUGCUGUCACAGGAGACCUCUUUUCCCAAGUUCAUUCAGAAAGCAAAAGGUCUUCGCAGCCUCUUGAUCGACACUUGAGACCCUUCACUUGGAGCUGCACUACCUGAUCUAUUCAAGCAGUUGACAUGCAUCAGGUCAUUGAAUUUGGCAAGGUCUCGAAUCAAAGAAAUACCAAACGAGGUAGGGAAAUUGAUACAUUUGAGACACCUCAAUCUGGCAUCUUGUAUGGUGUUGGAGUCCCUGCCAGAAACCAUGUGUGAUUUAUGCAAUCUGCAAUCCCUAGACGUUACUUGGUGUGGUUCUCUCAAGGAUUUGCCUAAUGCGAUUGGAAAACUUAUCAAAUUGAGGCAUCUCCGGAUUGAUGGUUCAGGUGUGGCCUUCAUACCAAAGGGAAUAGAGAGGAUAACAUGUCUUCGAACAUCAGAUAAGUUUCCUGUGUGUGGUGAUGGUGAGAAUGAAAAUAAAGCAGCUAAUCUAAGAAGAUUAAAAAACUUAAAUCACAUUGGAGGGAGUCUUGAGAUACAGAAUCUAAGAGGAGGUAUAGAAGAUGCAAGUGACGCUGCAGAAGCACAACUCAAGAAUAAGAAGCGCCUGCGUCGUUUGGAAUUGUAUUUCGACGAAGAGAAAACAGAGUUGCAAGCGAAUGAAGGCUCUUUAUUUGAAGCUUUACAGCCUCCGUCAGACUUGGAAUAUCUAGCCAUAGGGUUUUACGGAGGGCUGGAUUUGCCAAAUUGGAUGAUGACAUUAACCAGAUUACAGGAGCUUACACUCGAUGUUUGCAAAAACGUGGAGGUUUUGCCUCCGUUGGGGAGAUUGCCCAACCUUGAAAGCCUCCAAUUAAACGUAUUGUUGAAGGUGAGAAGGCUGGAUGGUGGAUUUUUAGGUAUAGAAAAAGAUGAGAAUGCCAGUAUUAAUGAAGGAGAAAUUGCAAGGGUCACUGCUUUCCCCAAAUUAAAAACACUCAACAUUUGGCAUCUCCAAAAAGUAGAAGAGUGGGAUGGAAUUGAAAGGAGAUCAGUGGGAGAAGAAGAUGCCAACACAACUUCAAUAAUAUCCAUUAUGCCACAGCUUCGACUGUUGAGAAUUUUCCUCUUUACUGUUUAUUGUUGACUUUGGAUUGUAUUUCCGACUUACCAUUUAUUGUGUCAUAUACCCCCCCCCCUCUCUCUCUCUCUCUCAACAUAUAUAAAAUAAUAUGUAAUUCAUAUGUAUAUAUUUAAAGAGUAGUUAAGACAGACAGGAAGAGGUAAUUUUUUAUUUAAUUAUUGAAUUAGACUUAAAUUUUACAUGUUAAAAAAAUUAAUCUAAGAUGAUAUUAUCUCGCUCACGUGAAGAUUAUUCCUUACUUAAAUUCUCCAGUGUAGGUCAAUGUUUUUGAUUCUUGACUUUGUUUUUGAUUUACUAAUUCUUGUUUUGUUAACCAAAACAUUUUACCAUUACUUCUUUUGAUAUAUUUAUUUUGUUCAGAGCGGCUUCCGAUUUGGUUCUGCGUUGUGAUUUACUUCUUUGAUUGUAUUAAUUAUUUAUUAUUGAAGUAAGAAGAAAGGAAUUGAAUUUAGAAUGCUAAGUAAGGCAUGGUGGCAGCUGAGGCACAGAGGUAGUAAUAUUAAUACAUUAGAACUAUAAUUUGUUGCUGCCCUUGGAAGGUAUUAGUGUCACUUCCAAUGCAUGGAAUAAUUUACCUGCUUUUUGGUUGAAAUUUGUAUAUUCUUUUUAUGUUAAGUUAGUGUUUCAAAACUAUAAAUUAUAUCUUGUAUUAAGACAAUUCAAUUAUAUUAUGAAGUUGAUUUUGUUAUUAAUACUGCGUUGAACUCUGAUUAAGUUAGGAUAAAUUGUGUAUAAGUUAGGGUUCACAUAGAUAUGAAACCUUGAAAGAAAAUCUUGUUUAUGUACCAGUCAUGGAUCCGGGAUCGUCAUAAAUUUGGUCAGAGACGUCGAAACAUUGCGACUCCAGUAACGUAACAAAGGGAACCAGUCCACCACAGGCUUCCGUCAUUACAUGUUCAAAAAUCUCAGAAAUAAUAUCAUUCAUCAGGUACAGAAAAGAACAUUAUGACCGGUAAGGUAGUUAUAAUUAACUAGAGAUGUAAGGACUCAGAAAUUUAUUACUGUGAAAAGAAGAAACAUUUACCAUCAUUCGAAUUACAGUUAGCCAUCUUUAGCAAGUAAAAAAAGCCAACCCCGUGUAAAGAUAGUUACUGCAACCUCCGAUUCAAUCUAAAUUUGGUGUUUCUUCAUCCUCAAUCUUUUCUGAAAAAUAAGAUAGUGUAUGAAAGAAAGAUUGUAUGACUUAAGAGAGAAGAAACAGGUAAUAUCAUCAUAAGCAUUGAAGUGGCUUCUAGAUGUGUUUUUUGUAAUAAAAGCUUCGAAUUUUCAAGCCACCUCUUCAUCCACUUUGCUUGGAAUCUAUGAAUGAAAUUCCUUACAAAUGGGGUAUUAGCAGUGUUUUCUCAAAAUCUGUUGAUGAUAUGUGUUACCAACGGUUUUCUAUGGUGAAAGGCAAUCAACAAAAUCUCUUAUGGCAGCUUCUCUUCUCCUGCGUUAUGUGGAAUUUUUGGCUUUAUCGGGAUGAUGUCAUCUUUAAUAGGGCUGCUCCAAAUCUUCAAAGCUGUUUUUCCUUGGUCUUCCGCAGUUUCUCAUUAUGGCUGAGACUCGAUACCAAUUCUUCAGACUCUGCUGGCGAGAUGUUCAUAACAGCUAUGAUGGCAUUGGUUUUGUAGAAAGGAGGCGCUGAUUUCAAUUGUUUUUUUCCUUUUCCCACACUGUUUUCCUUCCCCUGUUUCAAAACCUCUAAAGCUUGUUGGCUUCUUCUUUUUUAUUUUUUCAGCUAGAACUUCUGUAUGCUAGGCUAUUAUUUUUUUAGCCAUUUUCUUAUAGUACUCUCGAUUAUAAUAAUUAAAAAAAAAACAUCUGAAGUGGCUGAAUAAGCUUCGGUUCCAUCUCCAUCAGGUUUGAGUAACUCGGCCAACUCAGUCGAUUACUCUAGCAUUAUUUUGAGUCACCAGCUAGCUACAAGUCUUCAAGCUUUGAAAUGACUAGCUAGUGGCGUUCCACUAUGCCACCGGUAAGGAAAAGAAAUCUCUUUAAAUUCACCAAGGAACUUUGCUUUUAGACAGCAGUGGAGAUUUUAUUAAAAAAUUUGGCUAAAAUGAGAAUAGCCUAAUAAGAACCUAAAAAAAAAAAAAAAAACAACCGUAGAGAAGAUAAAAUAAAGAAGACAUAAAAGCACGGUAUCUACAAUAGGAAAAAGAAAACAGGGACCAGACAAUUGAUAAAAACUAGAAGUCAACAAAAAAAAUUAACAUCAUAUUUUACUAUCAUUACACUAUAUAUAUAAAAAAAAACAAUAUGUAAUGGCUCUUCAAAAUAUAUUUAUAAAAGAGAUCUUUAUAAAAGAGAUUAAAAGAUCCAAUUUAAUAAUUUGAUGAAAUUGAAAAUUAAAGAUUCAAUUCCUUACUGAAGAGCUGCUUUUAUUUCCUCUGCCAUUCCGAUUUUCUUUGAUUCUCAUUUAAUCCUUUUAUGGUCAUCAAAUCUUUCUCAUUACUUCAGGUAUAUAAGUACAUCACAUCAAUUUCAAUCUUUUAUUUUUUAUUUUUUAUAACAAGUUGUGAAUCAUAUCAAUUUCUUUUUUCAACCUACAAGUUGUGCUGAUCUCCCUUCACCACAGCCCUACAAAAACUAAUAGAAACAUGUUGACACACUAAAAUACAAGCUUCACUAGUAAAAAAAUACUACAAGUUGCAAGAACUCCACCGCAACGCCAAACCCUUUUGGGCUUGUUUGUUUCUGCGUUUCAAAAAUGCUUUUGACAAAAUUUAAAUUUUUUUUAUUUUUUUAUUAACUUUAAAUUAAUAUGUUUUUAGUGUUUUUAAAUCAUUUUGAUGUGCUGAUGUUAAAAAUAAUUUUUAAAAAAUAAAAAAACAUCUUUAGCAUGUAUUUUGACAUAAAAAACUAUUUAAAAAAUAACCGCAAUCACACUGAGAAACACAUAUAAACUAACUUCCAUUCACAAUCAGCCGCCUCCUUCCCUUCACCCUCUCUUUCUCUCUGCUCAUCCCAUCAUCAUUGCUUCUCUCUCUCUCUCUUUCCAAUCAGAACUAAACAGACGAUGGCUGAGGCACUUCUAUCUCCGAUCUUGCAGCAGUUAACCACGAUCGUUGCUCAACAGGUAUUUUUCUACCAUCUGCAAUAACCUGAUUUACCUAGCAGAGAUAAGAAAUAUAUAUGAAGUUCAAGCCUUUUUUCUUCCUAUCAUAAAAAUAAUACUUUUAACUUGAAUAAAUAAAAAUAAUAUUUUAAAUCCUCAAGUAUAUAUUUCGAUUUUAUUAAAGAAUCUUCUGUUUCUUGUUUUAUUAUUUUUCAUAAUUCCAAAAAUAACAUAAAGAAAAUAUAUCAUUCCAAAUAUAGGAAAACCGAAAAAGGCAAAACAAGAAUUGCCAAUUCUCUUUAAACUUAACCAUUAAGGGUAAAAUAAUCAAUAAAAAGUUCAAAGGAUUAGCGAGCGAGUAUUUGGUGUGAAUUAACACACAAUCUUAUUAUCAUGCCUUUAUUUCUAAAUUGACUUCACAAAUAUAUACAUCCAUCACUUGCCUAUAGUUUAAUGUAAAAUGAAAACCAGAUUUUAUGUCGGUUCAAAGGAGAAAUCCUUCUCUCGUGAGAACAUUGAACUCUUUCCAUACCUAUAUUAAUUAUAUAUAUAUAUAUAUAUAUACACGUACAGGUUUAACAUUUUACCAUUUAAGAUUCAUUUUAUACCCUCUUGUACAGUAGCAUAGUGCAGACUGAUAUCAUCAUCAUGAUGAUAAAAAGAAAAAAGAAAUAUUAUUAUUUCUAAUAAAUAUUUUUUAUAUAAAUUAUUAAUAUAGUCAAUCCAUUUCACAAUAAAAUAUAUUAAUACAAAAUAGAAAUGUUUCCUAUGCUUGAACUUCCUUGUCUUUUCUACACUAAUAGGUACAGGAAGAGGUGAACCAAGUAGGGGGUGUGAAAUUGUCUUGAAAUCACAGAAAUGUUUCCUAUGCUUAACGUUUCUUUUCCUUUGUACACUAAUAGGUACAAGAAGAGGUGAACCUAGUAGUGGGUGUGAAGAAACAAUGUGACAAGCUGAAAAGCAAUCUCCUUGAUAUCCAAUCUGUCCUUGAAGAUGCAGAUAGAAAACAAGUGAAGGAUAAGGCUGUAAGAGAUUGGGUAGACAAGCUCAAAGAUGCAUGUUAUGAUAUGGAUGACGUGCUAGAUGAAUGGAGCACUGCAAUUCUUAGAUGGAAAAUGGAGGAAGCUGAAGAAAAUACUCCCAGCCGACAGAAGAUACGGUGUUCCUUCCUGGGAUCUCCUUGCUUUUGUUUCAAUCAAGUGGUUCGACGUCGCGACAUUGCCCUGAAGAUCAAAGAAGUUAGUGAAAAAGUGGAUGACAUUGCCAAAGAGAGAGCUAAGUAUGGCUUUGAUCUGUACAAAGCCACUGAUGAACUCCAGCGACGACCAACAAGAACAAGUACCUCCUUUGUUGAUGAAUCAAGCGUGAUUGGUCGAGAUGGUGAAAAGAAAACUGUUUUAAGCAAGUUGGUGGGUGAAAGUAGUCAGGAAGCACGGGACGUUGAUGUCAUCUCUCUAGUAGGGCUGGGCGGAAUUGGAAAAACAACUCUCGCCCAACUAGCUUUUAAUGAUGCUGAGGUUACGGCUCAUUUUGAGAAAAAGAUAUGGGUGUGUGUUUCAGAACCAUUUGAUGAGGUUAGAAUAGCCAAAGCAAUCCUUGAGCAGCUUGAAGGGAGACCAACGAAUUUGGUUGAAUUGCAAUCCCUUUUGCAAGGGGUUUCUGAAUCCAUUACUGGAAAGAGGCUCCUUCUUGUCCUUGAUGAUGUCUGGACAGAAAAUCAUGAACAAUGGGAAAAACUGAAACCAUCUCUCACAGGCUGUGCACGAGGAAGCAGAAUUCUAGUGACCACUCGUAAGGACGGUGUGGCAACGAUGAUGGGAACUGACCACCGAAUCAACAUUGAGAAAUUGUCCGAUGAGAUAUGCAGGUCAAUAUUCAAUCAUGUGGCAUUCCAGGAAAGAAGCGAAGAUGAGCGCGAAAGAUUGACAGAUAUCGGCGACAAAAUUGCAAACAAGUGUAAGGGCUUGCCUCUAGCUGCCAAGGUAUUAGGAUGUCUAAUGCAGUCUAAAAGAACAAGAGAAGAGUGGGAACGUGUUUCAUCUAGCGAACUGUGGAGGCUAGAUGAGGUUGAUAGAGAUCAGGUUGAAAGACGAAUAUUUAUACCUUUGCUUUUGAGUUACUAUGAUUUACCUUCUGUGGUAAGACGAUGUUUCUUGUAUUGUGCCAUGUUUCCAAAAGACUACGAGAUGGGAAAAUAUGAAUUGGUGAAGAUGUGGAUAGCUCAAGGUUACCUCAAGGAGACUUCAGGUGGAGAUAUGGAGCUUGUAGGAGAGCAGUACUUUCAAGUCUUAGCAGCGCGCUCUUUCUUUCAAGAUUUUGAGACGUAUGGUCGAGAAGGUAUUAGAUUCAAGAUGCAUGAUAUAGUGCAUGAUUUUGCCCAAUAUAUGACAAAAAAUGAAUGUCUAACAGUGGAUGUCAAUACACUUGGAGGAGCAACAGUGGAGACUUCAAUUGAAAGGGUUCGUCAUUUAAGCAUGAUGCUGCCCAACGAGACCUCUUUUCCCGUGUCCAUUCACAAAGCAAAAGGUCUUCGCAGCCUCUUGAUCGACACUAGAGACCCUUCGCUUGGAGCUGCACUACCUGAUUUAUUCAAGCAGUUGACAUGCAUCAGGUCAUUGAAUUUGACAGGGUCUCAAAUCAAAGAAAUACCAAACGAGGUAGGGAAAUUGAUACAUUUGAGACACCUCAAUUUGGCAAGGUGUGUAGAGUUGGAGUCCCUGCCAGAAACCAUGUGUGAUUUAUGCAAUCUGCAAUCCCUAGACGUUACUUGGUGUCAGUCUCUCAAGGAAUUGCCCAAGGCGAUUGGAAAACUUAUCAAAUUGAGGCAUCUCCGGAUUGAUAGUUCAGGAGUGGCCUUCAUACCUAAGGGAAUAGAGAGGAUAACAUGUCUUCGAACAUUAGAUGUGUUUAAUGUGUGUGGUGGUGGUGAGAAUGAAAGUAAAGCAGCUAAUCUAAGAGAAUUAAAAAACUUAAAUCACAUUGGAGGGAGUCUUAGUAUACCGAAUCUAGGAGGAGGUAAAGAAGAUGCGAGUGACGCUGCAGAAGCACAACUCAAGAAUAAGAAGCGCCUGCUUAGUUUGGAAUUGGGUUUCGACAGAGAGAAAACAGAGUUGCAAGCGAAUGAAGGCUCUUUAAUUGAAGCUUUACAGCCUCCGUCAGACUUGAAAAAUCUAACCAUAACUAGGUACGGAGGGUUGGAUUUGCCAAAUUGGAUGAUGACAUUAACCAGAUUACAGGAACUGACACUCAUUGACUGUACAAACGUGGAGGUCUUGCGUCCGUUGGGUAGAUUGCCCAACCUUGAAGGCCUGGUAUUGAUGUUGUUGAAGGGGAGAAGGUUGGAUUUUGGAUUUUUAGGUAUAGAAAAAGAUGAGAAUGCCAGUAUUAAUGAAGGAGAGAUUGCAAGGGUCACUGCUUUCCCCAAAUUAAAAACACUUUGGAUUUUGAAUCUUGUAAAAGUAGAAGAGUGGGAAGGAAUUGAAAGGAGAGUGGGAGAAGAAGAUGCCAACACAACUUCAAUAAUAUCCAUUAUGCCACAGCUUCGACUGUUGAUGAUUGAUGGUUGCCCGUUGUUGAGAGCACUACCAGACUAUGUUUUGGCAGCGCCUCUACAGGAACUACGCAUAAUUAGAUGCCCCAAUCUAAGGAAACGUUACGGGAAGGAGGAGAUGGGUGAAGAUUGGCAAAAGAUUUCUCACAUCCCAAAGAUUUCUAUUAAAGAAUAGUUAAGACACCACUACGUACGGAAGUCUGUAGGACCGGCAGGAAGAGGUAUGUUUGAUAUACCUCUUUACUGUAUAUUGUUGACUUUGGAUUGUAUUUCCUACUUACCAUUUAUUCUAUCAAAUGCAGCAUAAAAUUACCUCUCUCUCACAUCCUCUCUCUCCCUCCCAACAUAUAUAAAAUAAUAUGUAAUUCAUAUGUUUAUAUUUAAAGAAUAGUUUAGACCGGCAGGAAGAGCUAAUUUUUUAUUUAAUUAUUGAAUUAUACUUAAAUUUCAAAGGUUGUUGCAAUUUAAGCUCUCUCUCUUAUUUUUUUCUCUCUCUCAUUUUCUUGUCAUUUUCGAAUGUACUAUGUUGUUGAUGGGUGCUUAGAUACUAUGUUGUUGAUUUUAUUAUUUGUUUUGGUGUUGUAGCGGCAAACGGUGUUGUUAUUGCAACUGAGAAGAAAUUGCCAUCUAUUUUAGUCGAUGAAUCUUCUGUAAGUAAACAUUUAUUAUUAUUUUUUUUGGUUUUGUUAUAUUCUUUGGUUGAAAUUCAAGUAACCCUUUUGUUUUUUUGCGUUUUCUUUAGUGACAUCGGUUGGUAGAAAUCUGUUCAAAUUCGGUGUAAAUUUGUAAUUUUUAUUAGUAAUUUGAGCCUAGUGAUUUGGGUUCUUGCCAAUGAGGCGUUACUAUACUAGUCAAUGACUCUUAAGAUUGGGACUUUGCAUGUUGGAGUGUGUAGAUUUAUAUCCUCUUUAAUCCCACAUUGUAUAAAAAGGUGGUGUUGGUUAUUUUAAAUCGUGUUGAAUGAGGUGGAGAUGGUUUGAUUUUGGAGCCAGUCGAUUGGUCUAUUAUUCUAAUUUGCAAGAUGGUAUAUAACUUGAGUUGGUUGUUGAUGGUAUUUAAUUGCUUCUUGUUUCAGGUUCAGAAAAUACAGAAUCUGACACCCAAUAUUAGAGUUGUCUACAGGUUUGUUUCUGCCUGCUUCUCAGUAAUUAGGAAUUUCCAUUUUUUUAGCUUGUGUUUCUCUGGCCUUAACUAUUGCUAAAAUAUCUGUCAUGAAUGAUUGUAGCAGGCGGGUGUGUAGAUUCAAAGCUCUCUUUAUGUUUGGUGGGAAAUUGUAUAGUUUCUGCUGUUGUUAUAGUGUCCUGAUAAGUGUGAAAUUUGACCCGGGGUGGUAAAUUGAGAUAGAAGCAUGCCUGCUUAUAAUCUGAACUUCAGUGGAACUCCUUGUAGGUCAAUGUUCUUAAUUGGUCUGGUUAUGGACUUGACUUUGACAUGCUGUACAUGUACGCUGUUUCUGAUUCAACCGAAAAAAAGAGGGGGACAAAUAUGUAGUUCCUUAGAAAAAUAAAAAUAAGGCAUUCCUCUGUACAUGGGUUUGAAAUAAGACAUCUUGGCAAUUUGGUUGCUCAAUGCAACUUGUGCAACUUAUUACCUAUGUCAAAAUGGGUUGCUUUGCUGUAAUUGUUUCUUGACAGUGCUGAAUCACAUGUAUUUUGUUGCAGUGGAAUGGGUCCUGACUUUCGAGUUUUGGUUCGGAAAAGUAGGAAGCAAGCAGAGCAAUAUCAUAGACUGUACAAGGUACCCAUCUUCAAGAUUUUCAAAAUCUGCUACAUCAGUCUUCAUCCUAUUCCACCAAUAACACACCUUAAGGUCUUUAUACAUCUUGGUGGAACCUGGAUGCAUUGUGUAAACUGUCUGAUGUGCCUCUACCAUCAAUUCUCUCCUCAGAUCAUCUACAUCAGGUACACAAAGCCUAUCCCUAUAUCUCAGCACAUCAUCAUCACCUAUCACAAAACCUGCAGCCUUACCCUGCUCAACCUCAUUUCUAAUCCCGAGUAGUGAAUCAUCUUUCUUCUGAGCUGCUUUUAUCUUAUCAAACAAAUCUGACUUAACCUGAAAAUGAGCAAUCAUUGCUCCAGCUUCACUAAGAUCAAAUCUGACUCCUUCAUCCACCAACUCAUGCAGCUCCCUAAUCAGAGGUCUUCGUACCUCCUGAAUAUGAGCUAAGCUCCCUGAUGAUUUUCUACUCAAAGCAUCGGCAACUACAUUUGCCUUACCCGGGUGGUAAUGUAUGGUACAAUCAUAAUCCUUCAGCAGUUCCAUCCAUCUCCUUUGCCUCAGGUUUAGAUCCCUUUGCUGAAAGAUAUAUUUCAAACUCUUGUGAUCUGUGAAGAUCUCACAAGUUUCACCAUACAAGUAGUGCCUCCAAAUCUUCAAGGCAAAAAUUACAACUGCCAUCUCUAAAUCAUGUGUAGGAUAGUUCUGUUCAUGCUUCUUCAACUGCCGUGAAGCAUAGGCAAUAACCUUGUCAUGCUGCAUUAGAACACAUCCUAACCCCACUCUCGAAGCAUCACAAUACACUGUGUAACCACCAGAACCUGAUGGUACUGCUAGAACAGGCGCUGUAGUCAAUCUCUCUUUCAACUCCAAGAAACUUUUCUCACAAGCUUCAGACCACUGAAACUUAACAUUUUUCUGCGUUAACUUAGUCAAUGGUGCAGAAAUUCGAGAAAAGUUCUCCACAAACCUCCGAUAGUAGCCGGCCAAACCUAAGAAACUUCUAAUCUCUGUCGCCGAAGUAGGUCUAAGCCACUGCUUAACUGCUUCAAUCUUUUGAGGAUCAACCUCAAUCCCAUUCCUUGACACUACAUGCCCAAUAAAUGCUACACUCUCCAACCAAAACUCACUCUUUGAGAACUUGCCAUACAACUGAUGUUCUCGCAGAGUUUGAAGCACCAUUCUCAAGUGCUGCUCAUGCUCCUCCCUAGACCUCGAAUACACCAAAAUAUCAUCAAUAAAAACUAUCACAAAUCGAUCAAUAAACUGGCCAAACACUCUAUUCAUCAAAUCCAUAAAAGCUGCUGGUGCAUUCGUCAACCCAAAAGACAUCACUAAGAACUCAUAAUGACCAUACCGAGUUCUAAAAGCUGUCUUCAAAAUGUCUGUCUCCCUAAUCCUCAACUGAUGAUACCCAGAUCGAAGAUCGAUCUUAGAAAAGAAUUGAGCUCCCUGCAACUGGUCAAACAAAUCAUCAAUGCGGGGGAGUGGGUAUCUAUUUCGAAUAGUCACCCGAUUCAGUUGCCUAUAAUCUAUACAUAACCUCAAUGACCCAUCUUUCUUCUUCACAAACAACACUGGGGCUCCCCAAGGGGACACACUUGGUCGGAUGAACUUUUUAUCCAACAAAUCCUGCAGUUGCUCCUUUAACUCCCUCAAUUCUGCUGGCGCCAUUCUAUAUGGUGCCAUUGAUAUUGGUUCAGUACCCGGAACCAAAUCAAUACAAAACUCAAUAUCCCUAUAUGGAGGCAAUCCAGGUAAGUCAUCGGGAAAGACAUCAAUAAACUCCCUAACUAUAGGGACUUGGUCUAAUUGAGGAACUUCUUUCUCUACAUCCACUAUAUAUGCUAGGUAGCACUGUACCCCUUUUCUAGCCAUUUUCCUCGAGAUAGCCGACAACAUAAUUGAUGGAGACCCAAUCUUAUCUCCUUGAAAUACCAACCCAACUUCUUCAUCUAGAUCAAAUAUUAUUUUCUUACCCCAACAAUUUACCGAAACCCUAUGCUUUGCCAACCAAUCCAUUCCCAAAAUCACAUCAAAAUCAACCAUAUCUAAGACAUUUAAGUCUCCCAUAAAAAUCUUAUCUCCAAUCUCUAUUUCACAAUCCAGAUACACAUACUUCACUAAUAUUAAUUCAUCUAAGGGAGUGGAGACUGAAAUGGGGGAUUUUAACAAGGUUGGUUGUUUAUCUAACCUCAUGGCAAAAUAUGGGGACAUAAAUGAAUGGGUUGCACCCGUAUCAAACAACACUUUUGCUUCAAAAGAGCAAACAGGAAGAAUACCUGAAACAACUGUGUUGGAUGCCUGAGCAUCCUGCUGAGUCAAGGCAAAAACUCUGGCAUGCCCCUGACCCUGCUGUAUCUGACCUCUAUCACCUGCACCCCGGCCUCUCUGACCACGGCCACCAAAACCUCUACCCCUAUGAGCCACAGACUGGCUCGUCGAUGGUGCCUGAAUAGGAUGCUGAACUGAAACAGAUAACCCCGAAGCUGACAACUGUCUCCUUGGGCACUCUCUGAUCUUAUGACCUAUCUGGCCACAACUAAAACAAGCCUCGGUCCUUCUGUAGCACUCUGCACUAGUAUGACUUCCUCCACAGUGCUGACAUGAAGAACUAUCACUAGGUGUAAUAAAUGAACUACGAGGUGCAGUCUGAACUAAACUCUGAGUACCACUACUGCCACUCUGACCGCCUGAGCCACUAACUGACGGUCUCUGUCUAAACCUCCUCUGAACCCAUGAGCCCUGACGACCACUUCGUCCCCUAGACGGACCUGCACUUAAUCCCUGUUGCCUAAAAGACUGACCCUCUUCUCUAGGCCUCUUAGACUGGCCUGCAGUCAUAUCCUCCAAUUCUCGCGCCUCUAUCAAUCUGGCGCUAUCAACAGCUAAAGAGUAUGAUGGAAACACCUGUGACACCAUCACCUUAUACAUAGAGGAUUUGAGUCCUCUAAUAAACCUCUUCACCCUUCACUCCUCAGUGGGUAGAAGAUGUUCUGCAUACCUAGACAGCUGAGUGAACUUCAGAUCAUACUCAUCCACUGUCAUGCUCCCCUGAGAUAGCCUCUCAAACUCAUAAAGUCGAGCAUCUCUGACGCUCUGAGGGAGAAACCUGUCUAAGAACAUGGAGCUAAACUCCUUCUAUAUCCACUGAGACUCUACUGGUCUUGCUCUUUUCCUAGACUCAAACCAAGAGAUUGCCACAUCUCCUUCCAACCUGAAUGAUGCCAAACUCACAGCUCGGUGGUCUGUACAUCCCAAAGCUUCACACCGUCGCCAAAUAUCAUCUAGGAACCUCUGAGGAUCCUCUGAACUAUCCAUCCCAGUAAAAAUAGGAGGUGCCAACUUCAUGAAGUCAUUCAACGGCACAUUAACUCCCUGAACAGUGUGGGAUGUCGAGGGUACAUCUCUAUCCCUCCUUCUAUCUCUCUCCAUAGAAAACUCUAUCCAGGUCCGCACAACCUGGCUAAGUUGCUGAAACUCUGUAACAGGUUCAGGGUCAGCUACCCCCACACCUGUUUCAUCAACAAUAUCUUCCUCUUCUAUCUCCUAAGGCUCUUCCUCCACUGGUGGAGGUACCUCCUCAACAUGUUGAGGCACGGGUGCACCGCGCCUCCUUCUCUGCCUUGCAGUUCUCAACCGCCCAAUAGGGACAUCAUCCUGAUCAUCCUCUACUCUAACAGUAUCAGCUAUUCGUCUAUUCCUCGACAUUUCCUAAAAUAAAAGUGAGAGCACUCAAGUCAUGCUAGAACAAUAGCAUGAUAAUUAUCACAGAAUUAUAGGAAAGCAUAUCUAUCACAAGGAAGAAGACAUGCUUGAUGAGAAUUCAGAAUUUCAAAGACAACAAACAAGACAAUACGGAUCUUAAUGCUCCACUUAUUAUGAAAUUAAUUAUAUUAUUGUUUCUUUAACCUAAAGCUCUGAUACCAAGUUUGUCACGACCCGAAUCCCGGAUCCAUGACCGGCACAUAGACAAGGUUCCCCUCCAAGGUUCCAUACCUAUGUGAACCCAAACUUACACACAAACUUAUCUUAACUCAAUCAGAGUUCAACGCAGCAUUAAUAACAAAAUCAACUUUAUAAUAUAACUGAAUUGUCUUAAUACAAGAGUUAAUAUAAUUCAUAGUUUUGGAGCACUAACUUGACAUAAAAGAAAAGUACAAAAUACAACCAAAGAGCAGGUUCUGAAGGUCCAACAAAAUGACCUGCUAUCAAGCUAUAAGCCUGAAAAGGAUAAAUAAUGAGAUGGUGAGUUCAACAACUCAGUGAGUAGAUAACGUUCAAUAUACACACACGAGGUAAUACAACAAUGAGAAAUAUAUAUAUACAAGUAUGGCUCUAGGUUCUUAUAGAAAGGUUUCUCAAAUAGGCCAUAACAAGAAUAUCAUAUGGUAAAGCUCGUCAGAAAAUCAAAAUGCAAUGAGCAUGAGGCUCCGUACUGUGGGAUGAUCAGUCCACACAGGUUGGUGACUCCCCCGACCAACUAGGGUUCAGAUACGAUGUGCACAAAGACUAACACUACCCUGUUAGCAUGGGUAUUUUGACUGACAUACCAUAGGUUCAUAAUCAUAUUCAAACAGACAUAUUCAUAUCUCAAGGCUCAACUCAUGACAUCAAUCAAAUGAGGAGCUAUCAAUUCAGAAGUCAAUCCCAAAUAUAUACUGGUUCAUAUCAAGAAUUCAGAUUCAACAAUUGAUCAUGUUUAAUCAAAACAAAGAUAAUAAUCAACAUAUAUAUUAUCAAGAAGCAUGAUCCAAUUCAUAUUAACAAAUCAAAUAUUUAUAAUAUUUCUCAUGCAUAUGGAAAAUUAUCCACUCACCUGACUCGAAAGCAACAAAACUCAAAGCUGAUAUCGAAGGAAAUCCUACUGACGUCCCGCCGGUAGAAUAUCAGGAUUAUCUGAAUAUAAAGGAGACAUAUUCAAGAACGACUCGAAAGAAUAUUUAACUUAUUUAAUACACUUAACUAAGGGUGUAUUCCAUAACCCUAUAUGUUUUUGAACUAACUAGUUAUCUUUCCUAAAAACCCAACAUUUAACGGUUUUCCCGAAAUCUAAUCCAUAAUAAAAACAACUAAUAAAAUUGAUAAUAAUUUACUAAAUAACCCUUAAUUAUUCAUCAAACCAAUCUGAAAAAGCUAAUAUUACAGCUAGGGACUAAUCUGUAAUUUAUCCUAUUUUUAAGGGUCAAAUUGCAACUUUUGUCUAAUUGGAGGACCAAACUGAAAUUUAUCAUAAAUCCAUGAAUAUACUGAAAUUCUGACCAUAACUAGUCCUCAUUUCUGUCCAGAUCAUCUCAUUAUACUCCAAGGACCAUUCUGGAAUUUUACCAAAUUUUUAGGGUCAAAUUGUAAUUUUUAUCAAAUUGGAGGACCAAAUUGAAAGUGUUAAAUUCUCUUAUCUAUACAAUAAUUCUGUCCAUAAUUCAUAUGUUAUUCUGUUCAGAUUCUCGGAAUAGGCUCCAGGGACCAAUCUGCAAAUUUUCCAAAGUUUGGGGACUAAACUGUAAUUUUCCAAAAUUGAGGGACCAAACCGAAAUUUUGUCAUCUUCAACCUCCAACCCAGAAUUUUUAACAGAAACCUACUGUUCUUGCCAAAUUUCUAACUCAACAUUCACCAUUUAGACAAUUCAUAACUCAAAAUUAUCACAAUCUUCCAUAAUCAACUCAUUAAUCAAUUACCCAUAACAAUCAACCUUAUAACAUUCAAUUUAAUUCAUCAAUUAAACCCAAAACACAAAUUUUCAAAACCCUAACAUUUAUCAAAACCAAAAUUAAAAGCUCAAUAAUACAAAUUUAUACAUUUAACAACCUAAAUCUUACCUUUUUACUUAUUUCCUCCAACUCCUUUCUAUUUCCUUUCUAAUUUCCCUCUUUUCUCUUCUUCUUCUUCUUUCUCCCUUCUCCCUUCUCUCUCACGGUUUUUCACUCAAAAUAUUCAGAUCUCUUCUUCUUCUUUUUCUUUCUAUUUAUAUUUCUUAUGUUUAUCUAAUUACUACAAUACCCUUAUUUAUUUAUACUCCAACUUUUAAGCCUACAAGGACUUUAUUGUAUUUUCCUACUCAUUUAUUCAAAACAUCACAUAAUGCUUGAUAACCUGGUUAAGAUAAUAUAUCUGGAAAGUAGUUAUUGAGGUUGUCUAUAUUACAAGACUUCUUGUUAGUUUUCUUAUUCCCAAUAAUACCAUUCUGACCCCCAAAACAGCUGAAUUUUGCUUGAAAUCCAAGAGUUAAAUAUCCGAUUACUAUUUUAUAUCAAUUCAUUGUCAUCUUUUGUUGUUAAUCGUGAAGGUUGUGACUUGUGAAUUUUUAUGAUUGUAGGAACCAAUUCCUGUCACACAACUUGUGAGGGAAACUGCUGCUGUCAUGCAAGAGUUUACUCAAUCUGGGUACUGGAACAUCUUUUAUACAUUCAAAGUGUUUCAGUGGUUUUAGUUGAUUUCCUUUGUAAUUUAGAUCUGAAUUUCAAUUUCCAAAGUUCAUAACCUUAGCCCUUAUUCUAAUAAGCCAACAACUCUCUCCCUAUGUUCCUGCAUCAGCAUGUCAACUCUUCAUGCUCUUAUUCUUGAAGUUUGAAAAUACUCAUCCUUUGUUUUUCCUCGCAGAGGUGUAAGGCCUUUUGGAGUAUCUUUGCUAGUCGCUGGUUUUGAUGACAAAGGUCCACAGCUGUACCAGGUGUCUUUGCUAGUCACUGUGUUAAUGUCUGAAGUCAUUAACUAUUUUUUUUUUAUCUGGAUUAUCCACUGCAGACUAUGUGGUAGCCUAGUAUUCUAGAAGCUGUAGGCCUUUGUGACUAUCAUGCACCCUUCUGUGUGCCCAGAGGGUUGAUAAGUUUUUGACCUUUUGUUUUCUUGGUUGAGAUUUGGAUGGAUUAUGACUCACUUGUGUUGCCUUUUUAAAAAUAUGUUAGACUCUUGCACUCAAAUCAUAGUUCUUCUGAUGAUGUUAUGUUUUGUAUUUGUUUGGCUAGGUUGAUCCAUCAGGUUCCUACUUCUCAUGGAAAGCCUCAGCAAUGGGGAAAAAUGUUUCAAAUGCAAAAACAUUUCUUGAGAAGAGGUAUUUAUUUGUUUUUGGUACCAUGAAAUGCAUUGAUUCUGCAAAAACUUCUAAACAUCUUCAUGGGUUCUCCUAGCUAGCAACAAAUGUGUUUCCACCUCCAGCCAUCAACUGCCAAACAUAUUCUUCAUUCAAAGAUCAAGCUACCUUCAAUUUUCAACUGCCAGUUUACUUUGUGCUACUCCCAUCGUUCUUUAUAUAAUUUAUUGUACUUCAUUCUCCCCAUCCAAGAAGAAUUGGAUUGUCUUUUUUUUUUUGAAAAAAAAAAGAAAAAAGAAAGUGAAAAAAAGAAUUGAAUGGACAGAAACAUGGUAAAUAUUUUGGUUUUUUGUCCACAUAUCUUCAUUUGAUUUGAACAACUUUUGUUUUCCCUAACUUAAUAUGUGCUCUGUAGAUACACUGAUGAUAUGGAGCUUGAUGAUGCUGUACACACCGCUAUCUUGACACUAAAAGAGGGGUACAUCACUUUAAAAUUUCCUCCACUUUUUAUUUUUGAAUUUGAGCAGUGGUGUUUUUUACAAGGUUUGGUAUAUAAAAAGUAGAAGAAAAAUUCAGUAGGUUUAAUAUACUUGCGCCAUGCACGAGCACCCGGUUCAUUACAUAAUUGAUUGAUAUACUUGUAAUUCAGCCAUUUAGGUAUUGCGAUUUUCUGCCACACAUACUGAGUAUCGUAGGUAAAAUGAAUUCUAAGUAACAGUAGUCUAGUUGGGGUCUUCAGCCUUGAGAACUUAAAUUGGCUCUCAACACUUCAGUUAGUAGUUCAGGAGAUUAAAUUAUGUGAGAUACUGUUUAAGUGAAAAUGAAUGAAAGUUUCUCAACCCAGUGUCAAUCAAAUGUACUUGCAGGUGCUUAAAGGUUCCUUUUCUUUCCUCUUAGUGAUUUUAAGUUGUUAAUUUGUCGAGUCUUGCUUCUAUAAUCAGAGUGAUGGUGGAUUAGUGAGCAUAAUCUUAGUAUUUGCAAAGUGGUCAAAGAGAGAUAUAAAUGAGCAUUUUAAAGUUUCUUACAAGUUCUGAGUGUGUCCCUUGUAACCUUACAAGAUUGUUUGUGUUUGCAGAUUUGAAGGGCAGAUUUCUGGGAAAAACAUUGAAAUUGGGAUAAUUGGUGCUGACAAGCAAUUCAGGCAUGCUCUUUCUUGACCUUUUUCCUUAUUAAACUUGGUAAUAGUGUCACGUAAUUUCAAGCUUAGGAUGAGUUCCAGAAGUAACUUGCAGGAUGCACAUUUUUGUUAACACAGUUCAUAACUAGAUAAAAUCUGAUAUCUAAAAUCUUUUGGAUCUCACCAAUUUCAUAUAUGGCCUUCCACUUGUGGUUUCAAUUUUGAAGUUCUGAUUUUCACGCACUCUUGCUCUAGUUUCAGUCUGACAAUUUACACAUGAGACUCGUGUUCAAAAUGGCCAAUCCACUCUUUCUUUGAAUGUUUAAGCUUCCUUGGAAGAAGUUAUGUGUGGCAUGACCAUGGCAAUCUUAUCCCUUGUGCUUUCUUUACUGCAGGGUACUAACUCCAGCCGAAAUUGAUGAUUAUUUGGCUGAAGUGGAAUAGACAUUGUAUUUUUUGGCUAAAGUGGAGUUCUUCCCUGUAUUGACACCAAUCGAGAUACAUGUGUUACUUUCCUCUGGAAUUGCUUGAAUCAGUUGCUUUUAGCCGAAGUUUCUAUUAAUUCCAAGUUUUCAGAACUGUAAUGUGGAAAUGUUAUAGGACUUCUCUCCAAUCUUAGAUGGCUUCUAAAGUUUUGCAUCAAUAUGAUUUCCUAUAGGAUACGUUUGACAGAGUGCAGAAAAUUGGUCUUUUCAAUUAUAUCUAUCUCCUCUCAAUGCUUGACCUGUAAUAUGCCCGUUCUUAUUUAAUUCCAAUGGAGCUUCGAAGAGGGAAAGAGAGGGGCCAUGGAAUAUGGAUAUCGAAUUGCAACUCAAUUGACACUUCAGAGCCUCGUCUUUGCAACAAGUCUCAUGCUGGAGUUUUUGCUGUUAAAUUAUACUAAUAAUAAUGACAAUAAUUUGUCCAUUGUGUUUAAACAAAUUAACCUUGGUCUAUUUUUUUUAUGAAAAAUAAACUUUUUUAGAAUUGAUUAUUCUAGCUAUCAGCUACCGUCACAAUAUAGAACCCCAUGCAACCUCAAAGACACCACGAGGCUACAAGAAUGCUAUUGUUUGACUCCUUAAGUUCGUUAGAGAUAUUUUGAGGCUUUUGUCCCUUAGUAAACAGAGAAAAACAUAAGCUACUUUUGUCUGGCAGUGCUGGUCUUCACCCACGUAGUCCAUUAUCCAAGAAAACACUCUUCACAUAUCUUCUUGCUUGCUGAAUGUUUACAGCUACCCAACUCCAAACUCCUCUUUUAUGCUUUCAUGUAAGUCGUAUCCUUCCUUCCUUCCUCUCUUUCUCCUCUUGCUGGAUAACAUUGCUUGUUCAAGGAAUUUCUUGUACUGGGAAAUGGGUUUCAAUGGAAUUGCUAAGUAUCAACGUUCACUUGACAGAGGAUGUCUAAAUUGUUUUGUGUUCUUGUUAGUUAAAACAUUUUCGCAUUUUGUUGGCUCUCAUAUGUAUUGAACGAGCAAUCAUCAUUAUCUGAAAAGUCUUACUGUGAAUUCAGAAAUUAUAAGAUGAAGGACCAGUUUUAGCUGUCAAAGUGCUAGGCUUAUCGUUGUUGAACUCUAACCAGUCUUCAACAGUUGUGGCCUUGUUUAUCUUGCAAAUUUUGAUUUUUGUAGUUUAAUCAGAUAGUUUAGACUAAUAUUUGAUUCUGUAAUGAAAAUACAACCUAUACUCACAGCAAUUAAGAAUUAUUGCGAAAGAAAGAGAGAAGAUAUUUGGUUUAGAAAGGGAAAGUUGACAACUUUUCUUCUUCUUUUUUAACUGUGUAUUCUGGUUUGCAUUUCAGGUGUUUGCUAUUGUGAUUAAAAGUAGUUUUAGUGUCUCUCUUUGUCCAAUUAUUUUGCAUUCCAAAGCAUCCUUUGCAUGGAUUUUAUUUGGUUGCUUCCUCUGUGUAAUGGCUUUAAAUUAAGAGGUGUGUAUGUUUGUUGCUGGCAAUUGUGUGUUUACUUGAUUAGUUUUUGCAGGUUGCUUGUUAGAUGCACACUGAAUCAUAUUUUUAUAGAAUCAAGUAUCCGGAAUGGUCAUUUCAGACGCAGAGAAAAGAAUUCCAGUAGUGGAGAUGUUAAAAAGUCGAAAAGCGACAGGGUCUAUAUCGACAAACAUGGCAAAUGGCGAAUCUUUGAUCACAAAAAGAUGUCCAGGAAACGAUGUAAUACGGAGUAAUUCACUUCGUGCUCCUACAUAUAACUGCUGAAGCAAAUAUGGCUUUAAUUAUUAAGUCGUCUUUUUUACCUAGGUGGCUCUUUGAGGGGACAAGGAUGGAAAUAUGGAUCUGGAUUUGUUGAUGGAAUUUUCCCAGUGCUAGGUCCUGUUGCUCAUCAGAUUCUGAACUUUGUGCGGAAAGAAGUGGAUCCGAAUAAUGUUUGGGCUGCUCUUGACACUCUUCCUGUCACUCACGAGACUUGGGAUGAUCUUAUUAAUGUAGCCGUCCAACUUCGUUUGAAUAAACAAUGGGAUCCGAUUGCUUUGGUGAGUAAAUCGUGCCUCAAUUCUUUCAUCGUGUAAGGUGGUAGGCGAUGGAUUAAACCACAUUGCACGCAAAUAUUUUUGUGGCAGGAUGUUUGCAUAGUAUUUUUCUCUUCAAUCAUUAAGACUGAACCCUCGAUUGUUCAAAUCUCCUUUAAGUGGUUGGUGCUGCAGUUGGUGUUCGGAAUUUUCAUAUACCAGCAUUUUCCUCCAACUGAAUGAAACAAAUCUCUUUACUGUCUCUAUUUAUUAUAUCGACAUUUUUAAUAUCGUGUGUUCUUAAUUCUUAAUAAUCUUGUUGGGUGUAACUCUAAAAUUUCCAGAUAUGUCAAUGGAUACUGUACAAGAGCUCCUUCCAGACAGAUGUCAUGUGCUACAAUUUACUAAUAGAUGCUUAUGGGCAAAAAUCUUUGUACAAGAAGGCAGAAGAGACAUAUGUUGAUCUUCUUCAAGCCAGGUGUAUCCCUACUGAAGACACCUAUGCCCUCCUUAUAAAGGCUUACUGUGCAUGUGGAUUGUUAGAAAAGGCUGAAGCUGCCUUUGUUGAUAUGCGAAAGUAUGGCCUUCCUCCAAGUAUGUGUUUACCAAUUCAUUUCUUCUUAGCUUUUAGGGAAAUUGCAUUUUCAAGAAGUUCUUGGACUACAUCAACUAUUUCUUAUAAAACAAAAUUUCCUCAACCUGUAAGAUUCUUUGCCUCAAAAAUUGAUUUUUUGUGGGGUUAAAUUCGUUUUAAAUUUUGAAACCUUGCUCAAUAAUUGCACAGGGCUGUAUUUCUUUUUUCUUUUCGGGGGUGAAGUAUACUAAACGUAGGACAAGAGAAGGUGGGCUCAUGGUCUGCAUAUUUCUUGUUGCUGCUAUACUAGUAGUGAUUACUACUCCUUAUCUACAUCACCAUGCUUAGAGAAUGGUUGAUUAAACCAAGAGGGACCCCUUACUAAUUUAGCUAAACCGGAACUGGAUUAGGCUAGAGGCUCCUGGAUGACAAACUUGCUUCUGUAGCUUUCCUUUAUGAGAUUGCGUGGGUUAUUUCUCUUCUUUUUGUGGUGGUGAAAUACAGGGCAUUAGUUCUGCUUUUGUGUUUCGUUCUCUUAUUUACACAUCUCAGAUUUUCAUUUUUCAAGCUGUUCUGUUGAUACACUUGCAUGCACAUUCAAGGAAGUGAAAAGUGAGCGUAUACUCCAAUUUUGGCCAGGUGAAAUUGUAUACAAUGCUUAUAUUGAUGGGUUAAUGAAGGCUGGAAACCCUCAAAGAGCAAUUGAGAUCUUUCAGCGAAUGAAAAAUGAUGGCUGCCAGCCCUCUACUGACACCUAUACACUGUUGAUCAACCUUCAUGGGAAGGUACGCUCAGUGGUAUUUGGUUCUGAAUUAUUCUGCAAAUCUGAUCUUCUUGAAAUGCCACUGGUCCCAGUAGAAAAUUAUUUGUAACUCGUACGUCUACAAGUCUACAGUGAUACAACAAACAACUUGAAAUAUAUGCAUUUAAUUUCAAACAAUUACCAGACUAAAUUCAAAGAUAUGGUUAUUAAUUCUGAUAACCCUGUACAACAGUGGUGUUUAGGAUCCUUAAAAACUCAUUUUGCUAAUCUUUUUCCUGUACACAGGCAAGUCAAUCUUACAUGGCCUUGAAGUUGUUUAACGAAAUGAGAAGUCAAAAAUGCAGACCAGAUAUCUGCACAUACACAGCUCUGGUGAACGCGUUUGCUAGAGAGGGACUCUGUGAGAAGGCAGAAGAAAUAUUUGAGCAGAUGCAACAAGAUAAGCUUGAGCCUGAUGUGUAUACUUACAACGCGCUCAUGGAAGCUUACAGGUUAGUAUCAUAGAAUGAUAUGGUGUUUCAAUAAUCUUUCAAAGAAAAUGGAAAAGAAUACUGGAGGUGCUGCUUCUUGCUUCCUAGAGAUUCCCAAUAGAACUGAUGAUAUUUAACUAUCUUGUCCUCACAGUCGUGCAGGUUUUCCUUACGGGGCUGCAGAAAUAUUUUCACUCAUGCGGCACAUGGGCUGUGAGCCGGAUAGAGCUUCAUUUAACAUCAUGGUAGAUGCGUAUGGGAGAGCUGGCCUUCAUGAGGGUAAGAUGCUUGAACCAAAUAGUAUCAAUGUACUUUAUUAAGUGAGAAUUGGAAAAAGAUUAAGCUCCAGAGAAUUUGGGAACAGUUUGAGCAUGUAAUGGUUUAAAAACGUUCCGAUCAACUAUACGAACUUGAAGGGAUCUAUAUUGCAACAUUUGGAUUAUAUUUUGGAACAGUGUUCAAUUUUAUUCUGGAGAUCUGCCAUAAUCUUUCUAGGAUUUCCUAGGAAACAAGAUAAAGUUGUAUGAGAUAUUAUCAGGCUAUCAGCAUUUCAUCCGUUUGCGACACCUUUCCUACUUGGAAGAAGUUCCUCUUGUUUUUCGUAUAUGCUCCUCGUAAUUUUGGCUUAAUGAUUUGGCUGCUCCUAUUUGCUUUUUAGAUGCUCAAGCGGUAUUCAAUGAGAUGAAGCGACUAGGAAUAACCCCUACAAUGAAAUCACACAUGCUACUUCUCUGUGCCUACUCAAGAGCAAGAAAUGUGGAUAAAUGCGAAGAAAUUGUUAACCAGAUGAGCGAAUCUGGGCUUGAACCAGACACGUUUGUCCUCAACAGCAUGAUGCACUUGUAUGGCCGCCUGGGCCAAUUUGAAAAGAUGGAGGAAGUUCUAACUGCAAUGGAAAAGGGACCUUAUGGAGCUGAUAUCAGUACAUACAACAUCUUAAUCAACAUAUAUGGACGAGCAGGAUUUUUCGAGAGAAUGGAAGGUAUUUUCCAAUCACUUCCAACCAAAAAUCUGAAACCUGAUGUUGUGACUUGGACUUCAAGAUUGGGAGCCUACUCAAGAAAGAAACUAUACGCAAGAUGCUUGGAAAUCUUUGAAGAAAUGAUUGAUGCUGGAUGUCACCCUGAUGGAGGAACUGCCAAUACUUCUAUCAGCAUGCUCAAGCGAAGAUCAAAUUGAACAGGUUACCACUGUAAUCAGAACAAUGCAUAAGGGCAUGGAGGCUGCUCUUCCUGCAUGAUUAAUGUGUAACAGUCCGGCAGCGCAUAAAGGAGCAAGACCAAGUUGAAGCCGGGGAAGAAAUGAGAGAGGCAUGUUGGAGAAGACUUACCUGCAGCAAAAAGAUAAGGUGAGCACGUGUAUGGUCAAGAUUGGACAAGAAGCACUUACGUGGAGGGCUGAGAUGAAGAAGCUCAUGCGGCUGACAGCUGACAAGGGAGUAAGUUCAAAGGCAAACGACACCGUUUGGGAGAAGAAAAAGAAUCCAAAUACAACACAGAUAAAUAAAACAGCUGUCAAUUCUAUCUGUUAUUCUUAAUUCCCAACUAACCGAGAAUUAUAAUAGAAGGGGGAGGAAGGGGCUGCAGAUAGGCAGGAAAUUGCUUUGAAGCAAAUCUCAUUCACCUAGGAGGCCCGGGCUACCUCGAAGCUGCCCAUAAAUCUAGAUUAGGGUUUAUCAACAUUGCAUUGUUCUUUCAAUUCGAGUUCUUUAAGAUAUUUCAUUUCAGUUGUUAUUUCAAUUUCCCCAGUUUUCUUUUUUUUUAAACCUGUAAGGCUCAGGUCUAAGAAAAGCUAUAAUAAGAAUUCCAGUAUUUUUCCCUUACUUACCAAGUUCAUUACAAGUGGUAUCAGAGCCACGAUUCUCGGAUGGCUGAAGGAACAAGAGUUUCACAACUGAUAGAAACAAUAUCAGGGAUGAAACAACAACAGGAGACGCAACAAUAAAACCAACAGAAUCAGCAGCAAAUAUUGGAAGACAUAGUUCAGCAAUUAAGAAACAUGUCUACCAGGAUGGAUCAGAUGGCUAAGGCCCAUGGGCUUCCCCCCAAUUCUCCCACUAGGUCAGUCAAUGGAAAUACAAGGCAUGAAGUAGUACCACAAGAAGGAAUUCAGCAGGUUCAACUCAAGUCAAUCAGAUUGGAGUUUCCCUGGUUCAAUGGAGAUGAUCCUAUUGGUUGGGUAUAUAAAGCCAAUCAAUAUUUUAACUUUCACAACACUCCAGCUCAACACAGAUUGUUUAUAGCCAGUUUUCACAUGGAAGGAAAGGCCAUAACAUGGUAUUAGGAACUAGAAGAAACCAGAAUUCUCACCAGUUGGGAGGCCUUCGUUAAGGCCCUCCAAAUUCGAUUUGGAACCUCAUCUUAUGAUGACCCCAUGGAGGCCCUCAUAAAUAUCAAACAGACAUCAACAAUAGAGCUCUACAAAACCCAAUUCGAAAUGCUUUCGAACCGGGUCAGAGGGCUGUCUGACUCUCACAGGCUCAGCUGCUUCCUAGGUGGAUUGAAGGAGGAGAUAAGAAUGGGAGUACGAAUGCUAAACCCUCAAAAUUUAGUGGCUGCUUAUGAAUUAGCAAGGAUGCAGGAGGAAAAUCUGAUAAUCAUGAGGAAAUCAUGGAGACCUAGUUUUAUGGGGUUUCAAGGCCGAAACCCAACACCAACUCAGCCCAGGGUUGAAAAUAAACCAGUUCUAGUACAGAGACUCACCCCUCCAUAGAUGAAGGAAAAAAGAGACAAGGGGCUUUGCUUUAAACGUGACAAUAAGUGGGGACCUGGCUAUAGGUGUGGAGGACCCAAGAUAUUCUUGAUAGAGGAAUUAGAGGAGGAGAUGAAGGAUAAAAAUUUUGUUCCUGAAGACCUGAUUGAUUUAGGAGACCCUCAGGAAGAAGGCAAGGAGGGAGUCGACAUAUCCCUCCAUGCAAUCAUUGGAAGUCCAAAUCCUAAAACUAUGAGCGUGUUAGUUAAGCUAAGUGGCCAUAAUUUCGUGGCCUUAAUUGACACAGGAAGUACACAUAAUUUCAUACAUCCAAGGGUAGCAAGAAGAGUAGGGAUGAAGGUUUUAAAACACAAGCCUAUUGGGGUGAACAUUGCAGAUGGUUCCAAGCUGUAGAGUGAGGGAAGCUGCUCAGAUAUCAAACUGAUGAUUCAAAGAGAUCAGUUUGUCACUCGGGCUUAUGUCAUACAGCUGGGAGGAUGCGAUAUGGUGUUAGGAAUCCAGUGGCUCAAAAGUUUAAGGCCUAUUCUCUGGGACUUUUCAGCCUUAAAAAUGGAAUUCCAAAAGGAGGGGAAGAGGGUCUUGAUUUGUGGAAUGGGAGUGGAGAAAUCAGAAGUAGACUGCAGCCCAACCUUUUUACAAGAAUUGAGAAGAGUCGAAGAAGGACUGAUUUUGCAAAUUUAGGAGCUGGGAUCAGUCUAGAAUAAAAUUCCAGAACAGAUUGAGAAUCUGUUGCUAGAAUUCAUGGAAGUUUUUCAAGAGCCAAAAUGAAUCCCACCUAGCAGAUCACAUGAUCACUCUAUACUGUUGAAAGAAGGUACCUCCCCAAUAAGUGUACGUCCUUACAGGUACCCCUACUACCAAAAAUCUGAGAUAGAAAAACUAAUUAAGGAGUUGUUGGUAAUGGGUACUAUAAGACUCAGCCAAAGCCCUUUUUCAUCGCCAGUCCUACUAGUUAGGAAGGCUGAUGGGUCAUGGAGAAUGUGUGUGGACUAUCGUGCCCUCAACAAGGAAACUGUGAAAGACAAGUUUCCCAUACCAGUUGUGGAAGAAUUAUUAGAUGAACUACAUGGUUCUCAAAAUUUUUCCAAGUUAGACCUCCGAUCAGGCUUCCACCAGAUCGGAAUGAAGGAAGAAGAUGUCCCCAAAACAGCCUUUAGAACUCAUAAAGGGCACUAUGAAUUUCUGGUGAUGCCUUUCGGCCUCACAAAUGCCCCUUUCACUUUUCAAGGAUUGAUGAAUGAUAUUUUUCGACCCUAGUUUUAACAUGAAUAGGGUUUUUUUAUAUAAUUUAUGAUAUAAAGACAAAAAGAAUUCAAGGAGAGGAUUUUCCAUGAAUAUGUAAAAUAUGUAAUUGGAUUGAAAUCUUAUCAUAGAGCAAUAUCUUAGACACUUUCUAUGGAAAAUAUGUAAAGGUGCCCAUCAAAACAUUUUCCAAGAAAAAAUAAUACAGUAAUUAUUUUUAUUGUUAUUGUUGUUGUUAUUAUUAUUAUUAUUUUAUGCUCGUAUAUACGAUUAGGAAGUUUUAACAAAGAAAACCGAAAAAGGCAAAACAAGAGUUGCCAAUUCUCUUUAAACUGAAAUAUUAAGGGUAAAAUAAUCAAUAAAAAGUUGAAAAGGAUUAGCGAGUGAGUAUUUGGUGUGAAUUCAUUUACUUGCACCACCUCACCAAGGCCUGGACAAACAGCCACUCCGAGGAUCCAUGUCGUUUAUUCAAUGCGCUUAAUCUUGUGUGUGUGAGUGUCUAUAGUGUUUUCAGUGCCUCUGCUUAUUUAUAUUUUUCAACGGAAGUGUCUCUAAUUUUAAUUUUUCUAUUUUAUUUCUUGUACUUCCAUUACUUUUUAUAUAUAUUUAAUCGCUGUUUUUAUUUUUUAAUUGAUGGUUGUAUCUAUAUUUUUCACCAUUAGAUGUCUAUGUUUUACAGUUAUUAAUGACAUGUAUAUUAAUGGGCAUGUAUCAUCCUUGUUAUGGAAUUCAUCAUUCAUAAAAUCUAAGAUAAAAGAAAACCAAAAUUUAAAAAUACAUGGAAGGAGAAAAAAGAAUUAUUAUUUUUUCAUCAUGAAACAAUGACUUCGUAUGUAUAGUAAGCAGCGGAGUGAGGAAUUGUAGUUUGGGAAUGUCGAAUUAGAUAAAAGAUUUUAGAGGGAGGGCCAAAAUUUUAAAUUUUCUAUUUUUAAAGAUAAAAAUCUGAUUUAUUGAAGAAAAAAAACACCUUGCAGGACCCUGCCCCUGCCAGCCCCUGUAAUUCCUCCAUGUUCGUGUGGCUCUUGAACAGUGUUGGUGGUGCGUGGAAUAUCACUCCAUGGCCAAGGCACAAUCAACGGUGGCCCCUCUUACAACGACACGGACGGCGAAAACGAUCGCUUGCAUGUCCAAAGGUUCACCUCUUGGGAUAUUUGUGUUGAUCGCUACAUUACCAAAAUAGCUUCUCCAUUUCUUCAUGAGAGCACCGCACACAAAUCCAGUCUUGAAAAUAGCAUGCCGUGGAUAAAUUAGAGGGAAGGUAUUUAGUAAUUUGGAGUGGAGAUAGAAACAAAAAUUGUUGAGAGGGAAGGAUCGAUGGAGCAUUGAGUGGGAGAGGGAGAGAGAAGAGUAGAUUAAGCGAUAAGGGGAUUGGCGUCUACAUGUCCCUGUCCGAUCUUUGAGCCCCAUGUGAAGCAGAGGCCAUUCUCGACGUUUUCCUUCUGUUGGCUAUUUUCUCUUAGUGCCAACAAUUGAGUCUCGACGGAAUCGUCGAUCUCUUCUUUCCUAUCUUACACGUUUGAAGGGUAGACAAUUCAAUGUACUAAACAUGAGAAUUUCAACCAUGUUGCUUGCUUUCAGAUCUUCUACAUCACAACCUUGUUUAUACAGGGGACAUGAACGCUAGCUAUUAUUAUAAAAAAAAAAUUCCAAAAUCUCAACCUGAUACCGCAAAAGGCCAUCAUCUGUAUCUAGAUAUACACUAGUUAUUUAACAUGCAAUUCGCACCGGGUUGCAUAAUUAUUAUUUGCAAUUACCAUCCUAGUGAAGAUCAAGCAACUGUUUUCUGCAAAUUCACAAGAAGAAAUUUAGCACCAAAUAUUAUCAUUAUCCGCGCAAAUAAAACCUCAGUUUCAGUGGAUUAAGUCCAAAUAAAUGAGAGAAUGGUAGACUUGGAAGCUAAACCAUUCAUCUAAAAGAGAUGAUACCCAUCGAUUUUGUGGAUUAAAUCCAAAUAAAGUUAUCAAAACCCAGCACAAAAAAUCUUCAACAAUAAAUAUGAUUUCUGCUAGUGAAAGGCAAGCCACCUGGACCUGGUGCCUGUGCUUUCUAAAUGCCAUCACAGCCCCAUUCAAAGAACUUCCAGACAGAGGAUUCUUCAGACCAAUAGAUUUACUAACGGAAGACAAUAAAUUCAAACUGUGAUAUCAGAAUCAAUGUAGAUACCUCCAUAUUUGCAUAAUCCAACAUAAAAAGGACAACUUUUAUGUUUUGGCAGCGCCUCUACAGGAAUUAUACAUAAGUGGUUGCCCCAUUCUAAGGAAACGUUACGGUAAGGAGGAGAUGGGUGAAGGUUGGCAAAAGAUUUCUCACAUCCCUGACAUUUAUUUUGAUGAUAUAUUAUUAUAUGUGAGAAAGACAGAACUCUUUAAUUAGAACCGGCAGGAGCAUGUAAAUUCUUCUACCAGUGUUAAUUCUUAACGGUAUAAUAUUUUACUAUAUUUUAACAAUCCAUUUUAAUUAAUUAUGUAAGUCAUAGUUAGGUCACUGGGAUUUUUGUCAUUCAGAAAAUGGAAUGCUCAUUUUAACAUCUACCAUUCAUUGGGUUGAUUUGGUUAUGACACGUUUGCUUUUGGUCUGUGUUUGACAGCUUGGGCUUAGAAGAUACUGAAGAGCUACUUCAGAGUGGCUUCCGAUUUACUUUGUGCAUUUGAAGAUUUUCCCUUAAUAUUUUUGGAAUCAAAUCGAAGGGCAUUCUGGUAUAAUCAAAUGGAGGAUUUCAUUCAGUGUUGUAUUAAGCACCGUAUGUUUCAUACACCUCCUUACUGUAAUUGGAUUGAAAUCAUUUGUAAUCUAUUGUUGACUUGGAUUUUAUUUCCUACUUCCCAUUUAUUCUCACAUCCUCUCUCUCUCUCUCUCUGUUUUUUAUUCUUUUUUAAUUAUUGUGCACCCCAAACUAGAUUACCUUGUGUACCCCAAACUACAUUACCUCUUAAGGAAUUAUUGUUAACCCCAACUUACAUGUAAAUGUGCAAUCGUUGAUGGAUCUCGAGUUGGCGGAAUCUCUUUAAUGAUUUAGUUCUUAAAAAUAGCUAUUCUUCCGUAAAUGGUGUUCAUAAAUAUGUCCAUGACAUAAAAAAAAAAAGAAAAAGGAUAUUAACUAAUACAUGGUUUCUAUUUCAAGAGCCAUCAUUAAAAGUACAAAAUUCUGAUUGCCAAAUUCUUCUCUACCAAAUAAAAGUUUGAUUAAAUUGAAUUGAAUAUAUAGCACAAUUGAAUAGCAUCAAAUACUCAAUGGAUCAGCUAAAAAAAACAAAUUACCAAAACAUAGAUUCUAAACAUAAUAACAAUUUGAAAUGGUAGAGGAUAUUCAGUCGACUUGUGUAUUUAGCAUCGUACACCUUAUGCCCUAGAGUAGUAUUAGGAUGAGUUCUCUUCUUGAAAAUAUUGUGCACCCUAAUCCCACAUGGAAGUGUGUGAUCAACCCCAUGAGAAUCAUUAUACAUCCCAACUCACAUGCAAAUGUACAAUUCCUUGUGGACCUCGGGUUGUGGGCUCUUCCCUAUGAUUUGGUUCGUGGGAGUGGCUAAUUGUUUACGUAUCCAAGAAUAUAUAUGCGAUCUAAAAAAAUAUAAAAAAGGGGAUAUUAACUGAUACAUGGUUUCCAGUUCAAGAGCCAUCAUCAAAAUUACAAGAUUCUUAUUGCCAAAUUCUUCUCAACCAAAUAAAAGUUUCAUUAAAUUGAAUUGAAUAGCAUCAAAUAUUCAAUGGAUCAGCUAAAUAAAAGGUACUGUUUGUAAAAACAAAUUUAAUAUAUCUCAAAAUUAAGCAGAUUAUUUUGGUAAUUAAAAUAAGAACUUCAAAAAAUAUAAUAAAGAAAUGAAUUAAUAUGGCCUGACGUAGUUAAAACAUAUCGGUAGACUCGAGUAACUUGUUUAAAUAUUAUUGGUUUUUUUUUUGAAAAAAUAAUUUUGGUCAAAACGAUGUUAUUUUAAAUUUUUUUAUAAAAAAAUUAGAUUAACUUGGGUUAACCCUCCUAUAUUAUACCUAAUUCUUGACCCGGGACGUUGAACCUCAAGUAAAGUUUUAAAAACGUUGUCCCUAUAAUUUUUUUUCUAACAAUGUAGCACUAUAUUCACUUUUCAUUUCUUUAAUUUCACCAUUUUUAUCUUGAUUUAAGUUUUUUUAAUUUAAUUUAAUCAAUUUUAUUAUCGGUUAAAUUUCUUAUAUUUUAAUAGCCUAAAAAAAUUAUAAUAAGUGGUUUACAUUACCAUACAACAAAAAAUUAAUAGCAUACAUAUCUACAGUCAUGAUUGAUUAAAUAUUGAAAAAACUUAUCAAGAAAAUUAAUAUAAUCAAGAAUAAAGAGUUCAGAAUUUUUGUUAAAAUUCAAAAAAAUGGUGAAAUGUCUGAUUUUUAGGGAUAAUGUCAACAAUUUCAUUAAAUCUAAAAAAGUUAUGAAAUCUCCUAUCUUCAAGGAUUAACGUGAAAGUUUUUGUUAAAAUUCAAGAAAUUGUGAAAUCUAUUGUCUUUAGGGAUUAAUGUAAAAAAAAUUAAAAAAUUAAUGAGACCUCCUAUUUUAGAGAAUGAAGAUGGCAAAAUUUUUGUUAAAAUUCUUUUAUUCAUAACAGUUGAGAUUAAAAUAAUUUAGAAAAACAUAAAUAAUGGUAAUUUUUCAUUUAAAAAAAUAUGAUAAGGAUGAUGUUUAACCUAAUACUUGAAUCUUUAAAAAACUAAUAUCAAUUUUAGAAUUUUUAAAUUUUUUUAAUUAUUAGAUAACAAUUCUUUUUAUUGCGUUAGUCACGGUGUGUUGCUAAAAUUAACAUCAUAUUUUACUAUCAUUACACUAUAAAAAAACAAAAAACAAUAUGUAACGGCUCUUCAAAAUAUACUAGCUUUGAUACCCGCGCGAUGCCGUGGGUUAUUUUUUUUUGCAUAAAAAAUAUUAAAAAGAAUAAAAAUUUAAAAAUCUUGGGUUUUUCUACAAAGUUAUACCCAAGAAUCUUGGGUUUGGCUGCAACGCCUGACCUAAGAGUAAUAUUUAUAAUAUUAAUAAUAAAAUUAAACUUGCAUGACCCAAGUUUAAGUGAGUCUGGCUGUAACACCGGACCCAAAAAUACUGGAUGUAGGUCUAGCUAUAAGGUCGUGUCACAAAAGUGUGAUAAUUAAAUAGAUUAAUUACAAAAAACAAAAAAAAUCAACAGGAAGGAAAAAACUAAUGAAGAAAAAGAAAAAAAAUUGAAUUAAUUGGGUUAACCUUUUAAACCAGGUUAUCCCGUAAAACCUGAGAUAUGCGUUAUCAACGUUUGAUAACUAAAUAGAAAAAAAAAUGACGGGUUUACCUAGAAUUAACCAGGUUAACCCAUCAAAUCAAGUUAACCCGUCAAGCCCAGGAUACGUGUCAUGAAAGUAUGAAAGUCUAAUAAUUAAAUAGAAAGAAAAUUAACUUUAACAAACUAAACUAAAUGAAAAAAAUAACUCGUCAAAUCAGGUUAACCCAUCAAACCCGAGAUUCGUAUUAUGAAAAUCUGAUAACUAAAUAAAACAAAUUUAACAUUAACAAACUAAAUCAAACAAAAAAAAUUCAUUAAAAAAAUAAAAAGAAAAAACAAAAGAAAAAAACAGUUAUAUAAUAUAAUACAAUAUAAUUAUAAUUAUAAUGAAAAAACGUGGGGAAAAUUUAAAAAAAUGGAAAAAAAGUGGGGAAAGCUAAAGCUAAAGCUAAAUUCUCAACCAACUCAAUAUUUAAAAAAUAAAUUUAACAAAGAUAAUUUAAAAAAAAAAACAUGUGGGGGAAACACUAUAGCCAAACAAAAACCAUGUAAGGGAAACACUGUAGUAAUCCAUAGUAUUUUUUUUUUAAAAAAAGCUACAAAGCUAAUCUCUCAACCAGUUCAAUAUAUAAAAAAAACGGAAAAAGGCUAUCUAAAAAAAAAAAGUCAAUUUUGGGUAAAAGAAAUGAAAAAAAAUGUACAAAAAAGGAAACAAAAGCGAAAAAAAAACACGUGGGGAAAGCUACAGUGUUUUAAAGAAAAAGACAAAAAAACUAAAUUUUCAACCAGCUCAAUAGUAAAAAAAUAAAAUCAACAAAAAUAAUUCUGAAAAAAAAAAAAACAAAAAAAAUAUGUAAAAAAUGACAAUUUUGGAAAAAAAAAAACAUAUGGGGAAAGUUAAAGCUAGAUUAUCAGCCAGCUCAAUAUUGAAAAAAUAAAUUCGAUAAAGAUAAUUUUUUAAAAAAAAUAUAUGGGGAAACACUGCAGCAAAACAAAAACUAUAUAGGGGAAACACUGUAGCAAUCCAUAUUGUUUUUUUUUAAAAAACUACAAAGCUAAAUUCUCAACCAACUUAAUAAAAAAAAAAAAAUCUAAAAAGAUCAUUUUGAAAAAAAAAAAAGAAUAAAGAAAUCAUAAAAAAAAGAGAAAACAAUGUAUGAGAAUAUUAUAGCAAUCCACAACGAGAUGAUUUGCCCGCGCGCUGCCGCGGACUUAUAAAACAAAUGCACUUGAUAGUGUUAUAAUUGUGAACCAGCGCUAGAUAAGUAAUAGAAAUUAAAGGUAUGAUGGAGCAAAUAUUUCAUGACGGAAAAAAAAGUUAUGUUGGUGAUCAAAAACUUAGAGACUGAACAAAAUGAUUUGUAGCAAUCUACAGUGUUUUGUGAGGAAAGAUACAGUGAUUUCGCCACAUGAUUUAGCUUUUCAGUUAAUAAAAAGCAAAAAAAAAUACAAAGCUAAACUCUCUACCAACUUAAUAUUAAAAAAAAACCAACAAAGAUAAUUUUGGAAGAAAAAAAACCCAUGAGAAAAAACGUUGCAGCAAUUGACAAUGUUUUGUGAGGAAAACUAUAGCGUUUUUCCCAAUAAAAUAAACUAAAAAACUAUUUAGAGAAAUAUUAUAACAAUCCAUAGUGUUUUGUGAGAAAAACUACAACGCUUUCCUCAUAUGAUUUAGCUUUAUUGUAAUUAUAAUUCUGAACCAACUCAAUAUUAAAAAAAAAAUCGAUAAAGAUAAUUUUAGAAAAAAUCAUAAAAAAAUCACAUGGAAAAACACUGCAACAAUUCACAGUGUUUUAAAGAAAAAAAUAACAAAGCUAAAUUCUUAAUCGGCUCAAUAUUAAAAAAAAUCAACAGAGAUAAUUUUAGAAAAAACAAAUAACAAAACAAACACAAAAAAAAGGGAAAAAAAUCAUGUUGGAAACACUGUAGCAUUUCACAGUGUUUUGUGAUGAAAUCUACCGUGCUUCCCCACAUGAUUUAGCCUUAUUUGUAAUGACUUGUAAUUGUAAUUCACAAACAACUCAAUAUUAAAAAAAUAAAAUUAAAAAAGAUAAUUUGAAAAAAAUUAUAACAAAAAAACUAUACGGAGAGAUACUGUAGCAAUCCACAAUGUUUUAUGAGCAAAGCUACAAUACUUUCCCCACAUGAUUAAGCUUUAUUACAAAGUUAAAUUUUAACCAACUCAAUAUUUUAAAAAAAUAAAAUCGACGAAAAUAAUUUUGGAAAAAAAUAUUACGAAAAAAAACACAAAAGAAACUGGAAAAAACCAUGUGAGGAAAAACUGUAUCAAUCCAUAGUGUUUUUUGAGGAAAAACUUGUAUUUACUUGUAAUUUUAAUUUUUAACCAGCUUAAUAUUUAAAAAAUAAAAUUGACAAAGAUAAUUUUAGGAAAAAACAUAACAAAAACAGAAAAAAACCAUGUGGAAAAAAACAUUGUAGCAACCAACAGUAAUUUUCGAGGAAAGUUACAGUGCUUUCUUCACAUAUUGUAACUGUAAUUUUUAACCAGCUCAAUAUUAAAAAAUAAAAUAAAAAAGAUAAUUUCGGAGAAAAUCAGAAAAAAAACCACGCGGAGAAACACUGUAGCAAUCAACAAUGUUUUAAAAAAAAUUACAAAACUAAAUUCUCAAUCAGCUCCAUAUUAAAAAAAAUAAAAAAUAUAAUUUUGAAAAAUAAAGAAAUAAAAUAGAAAAACUAUGUGGAAAAACAUCGCAGCAAUCCACAGUAUUUUUAAGAAAAAAAUUACAAAACAAAAUUUUUAAUCAUGUCAAUAUUUAAAAAGUAAAAUCAACAAAAAUAAUUUUGGAAAAAACAAAAGAAAAAAUUAGGAAAGUUGAAAAAAAAAAAAUUUGAAAAAAAAUUUUUUGAAAAAAAAAAAUAAAAAAAAAACAAAAAAAAAAAGAAAAAAGAGAAAAGUUAAUAAAAAAAAGAAGAGAAGAAUCACUGUGGAUUACUGUUGUAAUCCACAGUAAAAUGUGUGUGGGGGGAACAGUGAUUCCCCCACACCAUUUAGAGUAUGUUUUAAUGUUUUAAAGAAAAAAACUACAUAGUUAAAUUUUUAACCAGUUCAAUAUUUAAAAAAAUUAGCAAAGUUAAUUUUGAAACAAAUUUUUUUUAAAAAAAAAACAAAAAAAAAGAAGAAAUCAAUUUUGGGUAAAAAAAAUGAAAAAAAAAACAUGUAAAAAAAAAACUGCUGCUACAGUGAAAAACCCACAUGUUUUAGAGUUCUUUAAUUUAAGGACACUUUUUACUGUAACUAAAUAUUUUCGAUCCGUAACAAAAUUAUCAGAAAUGAUAAUUAUAUAUAAUGUCAUAAUUAAGUUGAUGCAGCGACACCAAACCCUCUAUAAAAUAGAUUAAAGAUCCAAUUUAAUAAUUUGAUGAAAUUGAAAAUUAAAGAUCUAAUUUAAUAAUUUGAAGGAAUUUGAUAUGAUUUAUAUAUUACUUUCAAAUUAUAUGUAAUCUUUUAUGUUAUGAAAAGGAGGUUUGAAUUCAAGAUUUUCUAGGAAGAAUUAGCAACAAUAUGUAAAGGCAGGUUCAUCUGCAUCGAUACGAGAGAGUUUUAUUUGCUAGGACAUGCCUUGUUGUAUGAUUUAUACAGUGUUUGAUUUUGUACUUCAACAACAUUUAAAAAAAAAUUAAAUUUUGAAACACUACAAAAACUAAAAAAAAAAAAUCUUGAGACACUAAAAUACAAGCUUCCUUUUUUUUUUUUCCAACCUACAAGUUGUGCUCUCCAAAAACUAAUAAAAAAAAACUAAUAAAAACUAACUUAAUUUGAGACACUAAAAUAAAAAAAUGUUGAGACACUAAAAUACAAGCUUCACCUGCAACGCCAAACCCUAAGUAUAUAAACUAACUUCCAUUCACAAUCAUCAGCCGCCUCCUUCUCUUCACCCUCUCUUUCUCUCUGCUCAUCCCGUCAUCAUUGCUUCUCUCUCUCUCUCUCUCUCUCUCUCUCUCUCUCUUUCCAAUCAGAACUAAACAGACGAUGGCUGAGGCACUUCUAUCUCCGAUCUUGGAGCAGUUAACCACGAUCGUUGCUCAACAGGUAUUUUUCUACCAUCUGCAAUAACCUGAUUUACCUAGCAGAGAUAAGAAAUAUAUAUGAAGUUCAAGCCUUUUUUCUUCCUAUCAUAAAAAUAAUACUUUUAACUUGAAUAAAUAAAAAUAAUAUUUUAAAUCCUCAAGUAUAUAUUUGGAUUUUAUUAAAGAAUCUUCUUUUUCUUGUUUUAUUAUUUUUCAUAUUUCCAAAAAUAACCUAAAGAAAAUAUAUCAUUCCAAAUAUAGGAAAACCGAAAAAGGCAAAACAAGAAAUAUUAAGGGUAAAAUAAUCAAUAAAAAGUUCAAAGGAUUACCGAGCGAGUAUAUAUAUAUAUAUAAGGUAAAAUAUCUAUAGUUUAAUGUAAAAUAAAAACCAGAUUUUAUGUCGGUUCAAAGGAGAAAUCCUUCUCUCGGGAGAACAUUAAACUCUUUCCAUGCCUAUAUUAAUUAUAUAUAUAUAUAUAUACACGUUCAGGUUUAACGUUUUACCAUUUAAGAUUCAUUUUAUACCUUCUUGUACAGUAGCAUAGUGCAGACUGAUAUCAUCAUAAUGAUGAUAAAAAGAAAAAAAAUAUAUUAUUAUUUCUAAUAAAUAUUUUAUAUAUAAAUUAUUAAUAUAGUAAAUCCAUUUCACAAUAAAAUAUAUUAAUACAAAAUAGAAAUGUUUCCUAUGCUUGAACUUCCUUGUCUUUUCCACACUAAUAGGUACUGGAAGAGGUGAACCUAGUAGGGGGUGUGAAAUUGUCUUCAAAUCAGAUAAAUGUUUCCCAUGCUUAACGUUUCUUUUCCUUUGUAAACUAAUAGGUACAAGAAGAGGUGAACCUAGUAGUGGGUGUGAAGAAACAAUGUGACAAGCUGAAAAGCAAUCUCCUUGAUAUCCAAUCUGUCCUUGAAGAUGCAGAUAGAAAACAAGUUAAGGAUAAGGCUGUAAGAAAUUGGGUAGACAAGCUCAAAGAUGCAUGUUAUGAUAUGGAUGACGUGCUAGAUGAAUGGAGCACUGCAAUUCUUAGAUGGAAAAUGGAGGAAGCUGAAGAAAAUACUCACAGCCGACAGAAGAUACAGUGUUCCUUCCUGGGAUCUCCUUGCUUUUGUUUCAAUCAAGUGGUCCGACGUCGCGACAUUGCCCUGAAGAUCAAAGAAGUUAGUGAAAAAGUGGAUGACAUUGCCAAAGAGAGAGCUAAGUAUGGCUUUGAUCUGUACAAAGGCACUGAUGAACUCCAGCGACUAACAACUACCUCCUUUGUUGAUGAAUCAAGCGUGAUUGGUCGAGAUGGUGAAAAGAGAAAUGUUGUAAGCAAGUUGCUGGCUGAAAGUAGUCACGAAGCACGGGACGUGGAUGUCAUCUCUCUAGUAGGGCUGGGCGGAAUUGGAAAAACAACUCUCGCCCAACUAGCAUUUAAUGAUUCUGAGGUUACGGCUCAUUUUGAGAAAAAGAUAUGGGUGUGUGUUUCAGAACCAUUUGAUGAGAUUAGAAUAGCCAAAGCUAUCCUUGAGCAGCUUGAAGGGAGACCAACGAAUUUGGUUGAAUUGCAAUCCCUUUUGCAAGGGGUUUCUGAAUCCAUUACUGGAAAGAGGCUCCUUCUUGUCCUUGAUGAUGUAUGGACAGAAAAUCAUGGACAAUGGGAACAACUGAAACCAUCUCUCACAGGCUGUGCACGAGGAAGCAGAAUUCUAGUGACCACUCGUAAGGACGCUGUGGCAACGAUGAUGGGAACUGACCACCGGAUCAACAUUGAGAAAUUGUCCGAUGAGAUAUGCAGGUCAAUAUUCAAUCAUGUGGCAUUCCAGGAAAGAAGCGAAGAUGAGCGCGAAAGAUUGACAGAUAUCGGCGAUAAAAUUGCAAACAAGUGCAAGGGCUUGCCGCUAGCUGCCAAGGUAUUAGGAGGUCUAAUGCAGUCUAAAAGAACAAGAGAAGAGUGGGAACGUGUUUUAUCUAGCGAACUGUGGAGGCUAGAUGAGGUUGAUAGAGAUCAGGUUGAAAGUCGAAUAUUUAUACCUUUGCUUUUGAGUUACUACGAUUUACCUUCUGUGGUAAGACGAUGUUUCUUGUACUGUGCCAUGUUUCCAAAAGACUUCGAGAUGGUCAAAGAUGAAUUGGUGAAGAUGUGGAUGGCUCAAGGUUACAUCAAGGAGACUUCAGGUGGAGAUAUGGAGCUUGUAGGAGAGCGGUACUUUCAUGUCUUGGCAGCGCGCUCUUUCUUCCAAGAUUUUGAGACGGAUAGAUUUGAAGGAAUGAAAUUCAAGAUGCAUGAUAUAGUGCAUGAUUUUGCCCAAUAUAUGACAAAAAAUGAAUGUCUAACCGUGGAUGUCAAUACACUUGGAGGAGCAACAGUGGAGACUUCAAUUGAAAGGGUUCGUCAUUUAAGCAUGAUGGUGUCAGAGGAGACAUCUUUUCCCGUGUCUAUUCACAAAGCCAAAGGUCUUCGCAGCCUCUUGAUCUACACUAGAGACCCUUCGUUUGGAGCUGCACUGCCUGAUUUGUUCAAGCAGUUGACAUGCAUCCGGUCAUUGGAUUUGUCAACGUCUUCUAUCAAAGAAAUACCGAACGAGGUAGGGAAAUUGAUACAUUUGAGACACCUCAAUCUGGCAUCUUGUGGAGAGUUGGAGUCCCUGCCAGAAACCAUGUGUGAUUUAUGCAAUCUGCAAUCCCUAGACGUUACUUGGUGUCGGUCUCUCAAGGAAUUGCCCAAUGCGAUUGGAAAACUUAUCAAAUUGAGGCAUCUCCGGAUUUAUCGUUCAGGUGUGGACUUCAUACCAAAGGGAAUAGAGAGGAUAACAUGUCUUCGAACAUUAGAUGUGUUUAAAGUGUGUGGUGGUGGUGAGAAUGAAAGUAAAGCAGCUAAUCUAAGAGAAUUAAAAAACUUAAAUCACAUUGGAGGGAGCUUUAGUAUACGGAAUCUAGGAGGAGGUAUAGAAGAUGCGAGUGACGCUGCAGAAGCACAACUCAAGAAUAAGAAGCGCCUGCUUCGUUUGGAAUUGGGUUUCGACUACAACCAGGAGAACGGCAUUUUAAUUGAAGCUUUACAGCCUCCGUCAGACUUGGAAUGUCUGACCAUAUCUAGUUACGGAGGGUUGGAUUUGCCACAUUGGAUGAUGACAUUAACCAGAUUACAGGAGCUUAGACUUGAUGAUUGUACAAACCUGGAGGUCUUGCGUCCGUUGGGAGGAUUGCCCAACCUUGAAAUCCUGGUACUGAGCUCGUUGAAGGUGAGAAGGCUGGAUGCUGGAUUUUUAGGUAUAGAAAAGGAUGAGAAUGCCAGUAUUAAUGAAGGAGAAAUUGCAAGGGUCACUGCUUUCCCCAAAUUAAAAAGACUUGAUUUUAGGCAUCUCUUAGAAGUAGAAGAGUGGGAAGGAAUUGAAAGGAGAGUGGGAGAAGAAGAUGUCAACACAACUUCAAUAAUAUCCAUUAUGCCACAACUUCAAUAUUUGAGAAUUAUCAAUUGCCCGUUGCUGAGAGCACUACCAGACUAUGUUUUGGCAGCGCCUCUACAGGAAUUAGACAUAAGGUGGUGCACCAUUCUAAGGAAACGUUACGGGAAGGAGGAGAUGGGUGAAGAUUGGCAAAAGAUUUCUCACAUCCCAAACAGUUAUUUUUAUGAUUAGGUGAGAAAGGCAGAACUCUUUAGAACCUGCUUUGAGUGUAUUAAUUAUUUGCUUUGGUGUUUGCUAAGGUUGAGUGUAAAUAAUAUGUAAGCCUUACCAUUUACUCUAUGUGACUGUUUCAGUGGAUUAAAUCCAAGAAAUUCUUAAACCUCAGUUUCAGUGGAUUUCAUUCAAUGUGACUUUACUGUAAUUCGAUUUUAUUUCCUACUUACCAUUUACUCUCUCAUCCUCUCCCUCUCCCUCUCUCUCUCUCUCUCUCUCUACUGUAAUUGGUUUUAUUUCCUACUUACCAUUUACUCUAUCAAAAGCAGCUGUCAUAUUAUCUCGCUCACGUGAAGCUUAUUCCUUACUUAAAUUCUCCAAAUGCCACUCUAAAAAAAUUGCGUUUGAAAUUUCAACUACUGUAACUCAUAUCUAUAAUUAAUCUAUAUAUUUUAACAUCCUCUCUCUCUCUUUCUCUCUCUCAACAUAAAAUGAUAUGUAAUUCAUAUGUUUCUUUGAGUGUAUUAAUUAUUUAUUAUUGAAUAAAUAAUAAAUAAUUGAAGUAAGGAGAAAGGAAUUAUUUAUUAUUGAAGUAAUAAAUUAUUUAUUACUUCUUCGAGUAAUAUUAAUUAUUUAUUACUUCUUUGUGAUUUACUUCUUUGAGUGUAUUAAUUAUUUAUUAUUGAAGUAAGGAGAAAGGAAUUGAAUUUAGAAUGCUAAAAGUAAGCCAUGGGGGCAGCUGAAGCACAGAGGUGGUAAUUAAGCAAGUAAUCUAGCUAGAUUGCUGCCCUUGGAAGUUAUUAGUGUCACUUCCAAUGCAAGUUCUCUACAAUUUUUAAUCUUUGUAUCGAAGGCUUCAUGCAUGAAAUAAUUUAUUGCUGGAGGAGGAGCAGGGGCCCCUAGCUGCUGUUUAAUAACGAGGCACAUUGCAAUUUUUAAAAAUGUUUUUUUUUUUAUCUAAAGAUAUAUUAAAAUAUCUUCUUAGAUUUUUUUAUUUUUUAUAUUAAUACAUUAAAAUUAUAUAAAAAAAUACUAGAAAAAUAUUAAUUUGACUUUUUAAAGCCAAUAUACACUUUAAAAUACAUUUAAACACAAUUUCAAAUGCAAAAACAAAAAAGUUUAUGAAUCCUAUCAGCCCCAAGGUUGUAUUGUACAUUUAUUAUUGUAAUGUGAGACACGUCUUUCUAAACCAAUAUAUUUGUAAAAUUUAAAAGUUAACUCUUCAUUCAAAUUAUUUAAAUAACCUGAUAUGAGAUAUAUCAUACAUAAUUAUUAGAUUAAUUAAUUCUGAAAAUUUAAUUAAUUAAUUCUGAAAUUAACAAUAAAAAUUAUUUAUGUUAUAUAAUGUAAAUUGUCAAAAAAAAUUUUAACAUCUAAAUCUAUUGAGUUAAUGUAUCUCGUAUAUAAAACUAUAUUUUAACAACAAUUUUGUCCAUGCUUUUCUCAGAGGGAAGAUUGUUAAAGACUUCAACUAAACCAUGAAAAAAAAAUUCACACAAAGCCCUAGCACCAAGUACCAUGGGCCAGCGCUCCCAUGGCCAGGCGAAAAGCUCCCCUGAAGAGCAACAUGUAGAAUUCAGGUAAUAGCUAUCACGCACUUUAAUAAGUUCAAUUAUUAGUAUUUUUAGCUGAAAUAUUGCACAAAAACUGCUAUAGAGAAACCCAUAUUUUGAUUUUGCAAUACUAAAAUGUUGCAUAAAGUUAAAAGUAUGUGUAACUGUGUAAACCAGUGGAACUGUGUAAAGGGGACUUAUGAUUAUGUUUAAAUGAAUUUUUUAAAUAAAUUGCAUGUCUUCACCAACUUUUACCUGCUUUUCUCACUUUAAUUUCUUUUCUUACUUUAAUUUUUUUUCUUUCCAUUCAACUUUCACCCAAAAAAAAAACAUGUAAUUGGAUUCUAAUAUUCAACAAAAAAAAAAUCAACUUAAUUGUUAAAAUAAAAUUUAGAGAUUAAAUUAAAAAUUUUCAAAAAUUUCAUUGCUCCAACCCGCAAUGAGAGAGGGUAAUAAUAAUUUAAUAAACAGUAAAAAAACCCCACGCUUUAGCUUUAUACUUAAUAUUGAAGAUUUAUAUUUUUAAUAAAUUCAACAAAAUAUACUGAAUGUCUAGAAGCUUGGUGGCCAAGUUCAGAUCAUGAGUUUUCGUUUAUUGUCGAGGAUGAUUUGGAGGUUUCGCCGCUGUUUUAUAAAUUUGUGAGGGGUUUGAUUGUUAAUUACCGUUACAAUGUGUCGAAUUUUAGUCCUUUUAUAUAUGAUAUGGUGCUUCACUUCAGCGUCAACGGUUUGUCCCAGGGACUGCUCUUUUUUCAGGUUUUGUACUUGUUAGACUGGAUGUUUUAAUGUUCAAUGUUAAGGUUUCCAGAUUUCUUGAUUUGUUAUAAAAAAUUGAAUUCAUUAUAUUCUUUAAAUAUCCUUGGAUGUUUUUGAGUUAAAAAUCCACUAUUACCAUUAUUGUCGCCACCCCAAUCCUUUUUCUAUCCUAUAAGUAAAUUCUUGAAUUUAAUAAAUUUUAGUGCUUAAUUUAUAAAAUUAUUUUCAAUCAAGUCACACUUGAUUAAUUAUCUUAAUUUAAUUUCUGACUAAUGAUUCUUAAUGUAUAUGACCCAUUGAGUUUCUAAUAUGUUGGCCCCAAAUAUAAGUUAUGUUUUAAUGUUCAAUGUUAAGGUUUCCAGAUUUCUUGAUUUGUUAUAAAAAAUUGAAUUCAUUAUAUUCUUUAAAUAUCCUUGGAUGUUAACGUUUCUAAGGUGUUUUGGGUCAAAAGAACCUUGAGCUCAAUUUUCUAGCCACCACAGUGGUUGAAAUUUGAGCAAAAUAGACGACGCGUUGUUUAUUUUGACAGACAACAUGUCAUUUGAUUUAUUUAUUUUUUUAAAAUAAAACGAAUGACAUGUCGUCCACCCCAGGUGCAUUUUAAAAAACGACCUAGUCACGUGGUCCUUCCUUGGCAGGCCCGUGCAUGGGCCCUGAUGAAAGGGGUUAGGUAGACCCAGCAACGCCUAACCUUUUUUUUAUUUUUUUUUAUUUCAAUUAAUGCUUCUUUUUUUAUUUAAAAAGAAACUUUAUUAUAUUUAUAUUAAUACACUUUCUCUUUUUUAUUUUGUUUAAAAAGCCUUUUUUAAAAGAUGAUGAUUUUUUGGAUAUCCAUUUAAUUUUCAAAGAGAUUUUCCUUAUUCAUCUAUAAUUAAUGCCAAAUAAAUUGUUUCACAUCAAAUUAACCUCUACAUUUUGUUUCACUUUUGAAACUCAAAAUGACAAGUCAUUUCCAUAGAAACAUACAAAUAGAAAAAUGACCGAUGCAUAAUACUUAAACCCAAUGUGAAGCAAUGGCCAAGUAUAGACUUGCCUUUGCCUUUUUCCUUUUUACACAUAUUUUCUCAUUGUUUCAGUGACAUUUGCUUGCAUCAACCUUGUAGGAAAUUAGUUGCUUUAUACUGAAGUUUCAGAAUCAUACUCUAACCCCAGUCUUAAGCAAAUUAUCUUAAUUUGCAGUAUAUAUUGCCUAAACUUCAUUGAGAAUAACCUCAAAUUAAUUUUCUCUGGCACUCCACAGUAGAUCACUAUCCUUCCUAUCUUCAUCAACUUCUCAUUUCAUCAGUCAACAACGCCCCAUUACUUUCUCUCCUUUUUCUUGACACAUUCAGUAGUAAGAACAACAAUGGCUGACGCACUUGUAUCCCCAAUUUUGGAGCAGUUAACCACGAUCGUUGCUCGACAGGUACUCUUUUUUGUUUCUUUCUUUUUUUUUUGUUUUUUUUAUAAUCAACAGGUACUUAAUUACUUUUCUACAAUUUUGCAAUUAACCUAACAUUUAUAGUUCAUUAUACAUUGAUUUCAUUAUCUUAUAGAAUAUCUGUUAAUUUGUCAGAAGCUAAAUCAGUAGCUUGAUUUAUAUAUUAUCACAUUGCAUGUUAUCAAAUAAAAUACACACACAGACACACAAGAUAGCGGGUUCUUACGAUUCUCUUUCUUUAUAUCUUUUGUGCUAUACAAAAUAUGGUUAUUGUGAUGGCUGGUUAGAACAAAUCAAUAUAGUAAAAUAGUAGUAAAUUCCUUUUUCAAUAAUUCCUUAUCAUAUUUGAAUGCAUAAAUCAUUAUAUUUGUAAUAAAAUUAUUAUGAUAAAAUGAUUAAAAUAAAUAUAGUCAAAUAUUCGAUUAAUUACAAACAUGAUUAUAGAAAUUCUAAUAUUUCUUUUUUAUUUUGAUAUCAACCUCACAGAAUUUUUAAAAAAAUAGACUAUGAUAAUUAUUAAAAGUCACCUAAUAAUAUUGUGAAAUUGCAAUGUAUUGCGCUCCACAAUUAUAUGAUUAUUAUAAUAUCUAUGAAUUCUAUCUUUUAUCUAAAGAAAUCCUUUAUUCAAAUAAAAUAUAUUUUAAUUCACGCAUCUAGUAAAUUUUAGUACAAUAAUUGUGCAUUAGCAUUACAUUAUUUACGAGUCAUUUUAUUUUAGAGAGUUUAUUAUAUAUAAUUUGAAUAUAAUUAACAAUAUAAAUAUAUUAAUUGCUACUGUGAAAAAGUUUAAUAAAAAUGAUUUAAUCUAUUAAUUGCUAAAAAAUAAGAAUUUGUACUGAAAUCAUAGAAAUGUUUCCUAUGCUUAACGUUUCUUUUCCUCUGUACACUAAUAGGUACAAGAACAGGUGAACCUAGUAGUGGGUGUGAAGAAACAAUGUGACAAGCUGAAAAGCAAUCUCCUUGAUAUCCAAUCUGUCCUUGAAGAUGCAGAUAGAAAACAAGUGAAGGAUAAGGCUGUAAGAGAUUGGCUAGACAAGCUCAAAGAUGCAUGUUAUGAUAUGGAUGACGUGCUAGAUGAAUGGAAGCACUGCAAUUCUUCGAUGGAAAAUGGAGGAAGCUGUAGAAAAUACUCACAGCCGACAGAAGAUACAGUGUUCCUUCCUGGGAUCUCCUUGCUUUUGUUUCAAUCAAGUGGUUCGACGUCGCGACAUUGCCCUGAAGAUCAAAGAAGUUAGUGAAAAAGUGGAUGACAUUGCCAAAGAGAGAGCUAAGUAUGGCUUUGAUCUGUACAAAGCCACUGAUGAACUACAGCGACUAACAACUACCUCAUUUGUUGAUGAAUCAAGCGUGAUUGGUCGAGACGGCGAAAAGAGAAAUGUUGUAAGCAAGUUGCUGGCUGAAAGUAGUCAAGAAGCACGGGACGUGGAUGUCAUCUCUCUAGUAGGGCUGGGAGGAAUUGGAAAACUCGCCCAACUAGCUUUUAAUGAUGCUAAGGUUACGGAUCAUUUUGAGAAAAAGAUAUGGGUGUGUGUAUCAGAUCCAUUUGAUGAGGUUAGAAUAGCCAAAGCUAUCCUUGAGGAGCUUGAAGGGAGGGCAUCUGAUUUGGUAGGAUUGCAAUCCCUUUUGCGAAGGGUUUCUGAAUCCAUUAAGGGAAAGAGGUUCCUUCUUGUCCUUGAUGAUGUCUGGACAGAAAAUCAUGGACAAUGGGAACAACUGAAACCAUCUCUCACAGGCUGUGCACGAGGAAGCAGAAUUCUAGUGACCACUCGUAAGGACGCUGUGGCAACGAUGAUGGAAACUGACCACCGGAUCAACAUUGAGAAAUUGUCCGAUGAGAUAGGUGAGAAAGACAGAACUCUUUAGAACCUGCUUUGAGUGUAUUAAUUUAUUAUUAUUAUUUUUUUUGCUUUGAGAGUAUUAAUUAUUUGCUUUGGUGUUUGCUAAGGUUGAGUGUAAACAAUAUGGAAGCCUUACCAUUUACCUAUGUGACCUCUCUCAUCCUCUCAACAUAAAAUGAUAUGUAAUUCAUAUGUAUAAUUUCUCUCUCUCUCUCUCUUUUAAACCUCAGUUUCAGAUAAAUGAGAGAAUGGUAGACUUGGAAGCUAAACCUUUCAUCUAUAAGUGAUAUACCCAUCGAUUUUGGAGACUAAAUCCAAAUAAAGUUAUCCAAACCUAACACAAAAAAUCUUCAACAAUAAUUAAAUUACAAAUCAACAACAAAAUUCAGCAGCAAGGCCUAAUUAAAUGUUUACUCAUUUUUAUUUUUUUUAUAAAAAUAUGGUGAUCAAAUGCAGGUCAAAUAUUUUUAUUUUUUAAUAAAAAUUUAGUUCUUUAAAUAUAUUUUUCUAGUUCAAAAAAUAUAAUAAAUUAAAAAUUUUAUAUACAUCUAAUCAAAUAAAUUAAAAAAUAUUUAUGUUAAUAAAUAAAUAAAAAUUUGUUAAUAAUACUUAAAAACAAAACUGGUUCAAGCCUUCAUUGAGCUCAAUGUAAAGAGGACCAACCUGCCGUCAUAAAAGCCCAAAAUACUCCAUUAUAAAAGCCCAAGUAAAUAUCCCUGUCUUUCUCUCCCACACACUCGCAUUCUCAGUUUUUCCUCUCUGCGUCUUCAAGCAAUAAACCAUGGGUGAUAGCCAGUACUCCUUUUCUCUCACUACUUUCAGUCCUACCGGAAAGCUAGUACAGAUUGAGCACGCAUUGACUGCCGUUGGAUCAGGCCAAACUUCUCUCGGAAUCAAAGGUUGUUGCAAUUUAAGCUCUCUCUCUCUCUCUCUUUUCUCUCAUUUUCUUGUCAUUUUCGAAUGUACUAUGUUGUUGAUGGGUGCUUAGAUACUAUGUUGUUGAAUUUUUUUUUUUUGGUGUUGUAGCGGCAAACGGUGUUGUUAUUGCAACUGAGAAGAAAUUGCCAUCUAUUUUAAUCGAUGAAUCUUCUGUAAGUAAACUUUUUUUUUUUUUUUCGGUUUUGUUAUAUUCUUUGGUUGAAAUUCAAGAAACCCUUUUGUUUUUUUGCGUUUUUUAUUGUGUUUUCUUUGUGAACUUUUCGGGCUGGCCCUGCGAUCUUUUAGUAAUAACCUAAGUAUAGAGACAUGGGCUUGUAGCACUCUAAUUGAAGAAGCUGAUGAUUCUUGUGGAAAAGCAACGUGGAUUCUAGUCAAUGAGGUGUUGGUCUAGUAGUUAACAGGUUUAUAUUGAGAUUCUUAGGAGUCAUUUGAGUUUAGUGACAUCGGCUGGUAGAAAUCUGUUAAAAUUCGGUGUAAAUUUGUAAUUUUUAUUAGUAAUUUGAGCUUAGUGAUUUGGGCUCUUGCCAAUGAGGCGUUACUAUACUAGUUAAUGACUCUAAGAUUGAGACUUUGGAUGUUGGAGUCUCUAGAUUUAUAUCCUCAUUAAUCCCACAUUGUAUAAAAAGGUGUUGUUGAUUAUUUUAAAUCGUCUUGAAUGAGGUGGAGAUGGUUUGAUUUUGGAGCCAGUCGAUUGGUCUAUUAUUCUAAUUUGCAAGAUGGCAUGGAUUUUGGAUUAAAUCCAAAUAAAGUUAUCUAAACCUAACACAAAAAAUCUUUAACAAUGAAUGUCAUAACUCAAUUCUGGGUUAUUCUUCAAAAUCUAUUUUUUUAAAAUAAUAAUAAAAGCUGGCAACGUGGAGAAAGUAGGCGGGAAAUCAAGUUGCAAUUUUUGGAGGAAAUUCAAGACCUAAUUGUACUCCAUUAUGUCCAAAAAUGGAGAAAAAAAUGCAAAUUCAAGGUCAAAUUCAAUGAUUAUUGGACGAAUUUGCGUAAAAAUUAAGUCCAAUAACAUAAUUAAAUUUUUAAUAGGCCAAUUUGAUUUAAUCAUGGACCAAAUUAAAUUUUAAUUAUGUUUAAGAAUUAAUUUCGGUCCAAUUAAAGGAUUUAAUUAAGUGCAAGGACUUAAUUAUACUUUAAAUGGGUCAAAUUAAUUUUAUUUGGAGCCUAAUUGGUGAAAAAUUAAGUUUGAGAGCCUAAUUUGAGCAUAAUUGAGAAGAUUGGAAUUUUAAGAGACUAAAUUUAAUUUUUACCAAGUUAAUUGAUUGAAAUUAGGGGUCAAAUUGCAAGAAAAUUGAAGUUUUGGGGUCAAUUAGGGGUUAAAUUGACAAAAUUCACAACCAAGGAUCAAUCUGCAAAAGGCGCCAAACUAUAGGGGUUUAAUUGACAAAAUUCAGGGGUCAAAUUGAAGAAAUUGAAAGUUUAAUGGUCAAUUAGGGAUGAAAUUGCAUAAAUUCGAGACCAAUGACUAUACUGCAAAAGGCGCGUAAAUACAGGGCUAAAGUUGAAGUUCUGCAGGGGUCUUAUUCCAUUAAAUCAAAGGUUUAGGGUCAAUUAGGGGUUCAAUUGAACCAAAUUGAAAGCUAGAGGACUACAUUGAACUUCGGCAAAAUCCCUAAUUUUAACCCAAAAUGAUGUUGUUUUUGCGUUAAAAAAAAAAAGAAAGAUACCAGGCGACACGUUGCCUGGUCACUGUUCAUCUUCCCCGUGAACGCUGCCCGGGUAGCAGUUUUGCAGGUGCAUUUAAUGCCUCGCAUGUCCCCCAAAAUUGACAACACGUGCACCAAAAUAGUCACCUGAAAUCCCUCUAUCCCCGAGUAUUAUCUGGUCAGGCCUAUUAACAUGAAAACUGCUCCAGUGACCGGCCUGAAGUAGCCAACUCGGGCAGUUUUGGACUGUCAAAUUUGGCAGAUCGAGGUGCACACUUUGAACCAACGGUUGGAAUGCUUACCAACCAAACCAAAGGCCACGAUUUGACACCAUUAAAGAAAAAAUGUUCCUCUUCCAUCUCCUACAAAUAGGGCUGCAUUUCAUGGCCUGGAGGAGGAAGAAAUCGAGUCCAAAAUUGACAAAAAACCAGCCGCACCCUUCUGUUUUUCUCCUUUUCUUUUCUGCAACGAGUACUCUUUCUCUUUUCUCCUUCUCAGCCGUGCAUUCAGCCACCACCACUACCACCGCUAGCUUGACAACCAUCCUCUCCAGCACACUUCUCCCUCUCCAUUGAUUUCUUCUCCCUUUUCCUCCAUAGCGACAGCAGCUCAUCAGCACCACCAUUUUCUUUUUCUUCCUUCUCCAGCACCGGCAACAGCAACAUCAGCACCGACCUCCAUCCCCACAACCAGCUUUACCACCAUCAUUUCCAUCAACCCAGCUCUUCACCAGUGGCGGAGCAGCCACCGUGACCUUCUCUCUCUUCUCCUUCCAGCUUUUCUCUCUCCUCUGCAACUUUUUCUUCUUCCUCGCACAGUCGAAUCUGGCCACCAUCACCUCAGCCGACGCCCCCUGAGCCACCGGCUAAACCACCUCAUCACGACCGAGACCCCCACGCCAGGCAACUUCCUCCUCCCUGCUUUGCCUCUUUCUUCCUCGUCGUGGCUGCUGCAUGCAGAAUUUAUUUCUACAUGGAGUAAGCUAAUUAAUUAGCCCCUGGUUUGGGUCGGGCCAGUUAUAGCCCUGCCCAAGUGGUUGGGUCUUGCCUGGCCCCCAUUUAAAAAAAAAUCAAAAAAAGUUUUCAAAAAUCAUUUUAAAAAAAAUUUGGGAUUUUUCUCGCAUAUUUUUCUACCAAUUUUGCAUAAUAUCGGGUUGUAUAUUUACACUGUAAAAUACAAAUCUAGUAUUAAAAUACCCGGUUUUCUCCAAAAUAUUUCAAAAAAAAAAUCAAAACAUUUUCAAAAAGAAAAAAAUAUUUCGUUGCAUAUGGCCAAAUUCUAAAAAAAUUUCAAGCAUAUUUUCAUAAAAAAAAUUGCAUCUCUCUCAUGUUUUGAAAAUAAAAAAUGGAUAUCAUAAACAGUUUAUGAUCAUCCAUUAGUAUUUGGCCAACAUGUCAAAAAUCUUUUUCAAAUCUUUUUUUUAUGAUCUAGAUGUAGACUUUAAUAUUUGUGGGGUGUAAAAUUACAUGAUAAAGUACACCCUUAUGUAUUAAAGAUACAAGGUGUAAAUAAAUGCGAUGCCAAAAUUCAGACUUUAGAAUAGUUAGAAUUUAACCCGAUAAGGUAGAAACUCUCUCAUGAAGAGAGAUCUGCCUUGAGCCUUAGAAAAGACUAACGAAUAAAAACCCAACUUAGAAAAAAAACAAUCAAACAAACAAUGCAGCUUACCUGAGGUAGGGUGCAUUGGGGGUGAUGCGUCUUUCCCUUGCAUAACCAGUCCCUUACUCAUACUCUCGCAGACCAUAGAUUCCUAGUGACCAUAAUACUAGGUGGCGACUCCUAAACAUUAAUCAUAAUUCUAUAAUUAAAUCCAAAAACCCUUUCCAACACACAACACCUCACAUAGGAGGCACGGCAAAGAGCCUCCGCCGUCGCGGCGCUCACGCCCCCGCGACAAUGAAUAUGAUUUCUGCUAAUGAAAGGCAAGCCCCCUAGUGCCUGUGCUUUCUAAAUGCCAUCACAGCCCCAUUCAAGGAACUUCCAGACAGAGGAUUCUUCAGACCAAUAGCAUUAAUAAUGGAAGACAAUAUAGAUUCAAACUAUGAUAUCAGAAUCAAUAUAGAUACCACCAUAUUUGCUUAACCCAACAUACAAAGGACAAAUUGCAGAAACAAUGAUUCUAAACAUAAUAGAACCAGCACAUGGAAUAUAAAACAAAAGUUCAUCUCAACUCUAGUGAAGAUAUUCUAGGGGAGUUUUUCGAUCUAUUUUUGAGGGGUUUGUUGGGUAUUUUGAUUCAUUAGCAGCCUUCCAAGUCUUUGUGAUAUUAAUCCGUAAAGACAUGUAAAAAUACCUAGUUACCAUGAUGAGUUUCUCAAAUUUUUUUCAUAUGAAAAGAGAGGUUGAAACCCCGGACCAGUGACCUCCUAGGAAUCAUUAUGCACCCCAACCCACAUGGAAGUGUGAGAUCAACCUCUUAGGAAUCAUUGUGCACCCCAACUCAUAUGCAAGUGUGUAAUUGUUGGUGGACCUCGAGUUGCAGGCUCUCCCUUGUGGUUUUGUUUUUUAGAGUGGCUUACUGCUCACCCAUGGGUGGUGUCAAGGAGAUAUUAACUAACACAUGGUUUCCAAUUCAAGAGCCAUCAUCAAAAUCACAAGAUUCUGAUUGCCAAAUUCUCAACCAAAUAAAAGUUUGAUUAAAUUGAAUUGAAUAGCACCAAAUAUUCAAUGGAUCAACAAAAAUAAAAGGUAAUGUUUAUAAAACCAAUUUUAAUAUAGCUCAAAAUUAAGCGGAUCUUUUCGGUAAUUAAGGUAAGAACUUCAACAAAAAAAAAUAAAGAAAAGAAUUAAUAUGGCCUGACAUGGUUAAAAUAUCCCGGUAAACUCAAGUAAAAUUUGGUUAAAUAUUGUUGAUUUUUUUUGGAAAAAACAAUUUUAGUCAAAACAAUAUUAUUUUAAUUCAGAUUUGACAACUCAGGAUGCCUACUUUGAGGCAAUGGUUGGGAUCCUUACCAACUGAAUCAAGGGCUGAAAUUUUUUCCUGGUAUAAACAAGAUUGCUCUCUUCCACCUCCUAUAAAUAGAGGUGGAUUUCCUGGCCUGGGGGAGGAGAAAAUUAGGACCAAAGUCGGCAAAAAACCAGCCCCUCUGCCCUUGUUUCUGCAGUUUUUCUCUCCCUCUCUCCCCCCACCGUUCGAGCCACCACCUGCUCCACCACAGGUAGCUAGCCCAACCACAAGCUGAUCACCCCCAUUCCUGAAACAGUCACCGUUUCUUCCUCUCUCUCACCUCUGCAAAAUCCUUCUUCCUUCCCCCGUGAUCGACUCCGGCCACCAUUCCUCCCAGCGACGCCACCAAAACCAUCAACACAACCUCCUGAUCACGGCCGAGACUCCUGCUUCGAGUGAGCCGCUCCUCCGUCAACCUUCAUUUUCUGCAACCAUUUCAGUUGCAUGCAGAACGUGAACCACUGUUCACGUUCUGCAAAUAAUUAACAUUAACUUUGGGUCGGGCCAGUUAUGGCCUAGCCUAAUUGGUCGGGUCUGCCCUGGCCCAAAAAAAAGAGAGAAAAUGUGUUGGGCCAAGAUCGGCCCAUUGUUUUCUGGGUUUGUGCCUGACCCACUUAUCUGGGCCGACCCGACCCACAUGUUUUAAUAAUAUUUAAUUAAUAUAUAAUAUUAUAUUAUAUAUUUCUUUUAAAAAAAUAAAAAAAUAAAAAAUCCUUUGAAAAAAAUUGUGAUUUUUUCACAUUUUUUUCUAUCAAUUUUGCAUAAUAUUGGGUUGUAUAUUUACACUUUAAAAUACAAAUCCGAUAUUAAAAUACCUGGUUUUCUCUGAAUUUUUUUUAAAAAAAAUUUCAAAACAUUUUCAAAAAGAAAAAAAAAUUUUUGUUGCAUAUGGACAAAUUCUAAAAAAUUUCCAAGGAUAUUUUCAUUAAAAAAAAUUGCAUCUUUCUCAUGUUUUGAAAACCCAAAAAAAUAGAUAUCAUAACCGGUUUAUGAUUAUCUAUUAGGGUUCGACCAAAAUAUCAAGAACUUUUUUUCAAUUUUUUUUUAGGAUCCAGACGUAAACUUUAAUAUUUGUGGGGUGUAAAAUUACAUGAUAAAGUAUACCCUCGGGUAUUAAAAAUACAAGGUGUAAAUAAAUACGAUGCUAAAAUUUAGACUUUAGAACAGUUAGGAUUUAACCCAAUAAGGUAGAGACUUUUUCAUGAAGAGAGAUCUACCUUAAACCUUAGAAAAGACCAACGAAUAGAAACCAGACUUAGAAAAAAAAAUUAAACAACAACGUAGCUUACCUUAGGUAGGGUACAUUGGAGGUGAUGCGUCUUCCUCUUGCAUAACCAAUUCUUUACCCAGACUCUCGCAAACCAUAGGUUCCUAGUGACCAUAACACUAGGUGGCGACUCCUAAACAUUAAUCGUAAUUUCAUGAUUAAAUCCAAAAACCCUUCCCAACACACCACACCUCACACAAGAGGCACGACAAUAGCCUCUACCGUCGCCAGACGACGUCGCAUUGGCGCUCGACCCCCUUGACAACACUAUUAAAAAACAAAAAACAAUAUGUAAUGGCUCUUCAAAAUAUAUUUAAAAACACUUUUUACUGUCACUAAAUUUUUUUGAUCCGUAACAAAAUUAUCAGAAAUGGUCACUACAUAUAGUGUCAUAAUUAAGUUGAUGCAGUGACACCAAACCCUCUAUAAAAGAGAUUAAAGAUCCAAUUUAAUAAUUUGAUGAAAUUGAAAAUUAAAGAUCCAAUUUAAUAAUUUGAUGAAAUUGAAAAUUAAAGAUCCAAUUUAAUAAUUUGAAGGAAUUUGAUAUGAUUUAUUACUUUCAAAUUAUAUGUAAUCUUUUUUGUUAUGAAAAAAGGGGUUUGAAUUCAAGAUUUUCUUGGAAGAAAAAUACUAAAAUCAUUCAAGUUACAACUCAUUGAAGAUAGUUCAAUGCAGAUGAUAAAACUUGAAUAUCAAAUCCUGGAAACUACAAUAUGCUUAGCCUUCAGCUAGUUAAAAAAACGAAUAUCAAAUCCUGGAAACUACAGUUGAUAAAUAAACCUGGUCCUCGGAACCUGCUUUCAAGUCUCGUUAAUAUCACAUUGCUUAGCAAAAACCCUAAUUCCCGCAAGAACCCUGCUUUCAAGUUUUUCAAUUGCAUGAGUUGCUUUUACUUCCCCUGUCAUUCCAAUUUUCUUUGAUUCUCAUUUCAUCCUUUUAUGGUCAUCAAAUCUUUCUCAUUACUUCAGGUAUAUACGUACAUCACAUCAAUUUCAUUUUUCAACCUACAAGUCGUGCUCUUCCUUCACCACAGCCCUACAAAAACUAAUAAAAAAAUGUUGAGACACUAAAAUACAAGCUUCACUAGUAAAAAAAACUACAAGUUGCAAGAACUCCACCUGCAACACCAAACCCUAAGUAAAUAAACUAACUUCCAUUCACAAUCAGCCGCCUCCUUCCCUUCACCGUCUCUUUCUCUCUGCUCAUCCCAUCAUCAUUGCCUCUCUCUCUCUCUCUCUCUCUCUCUCUCCAAUCAGAACUAAACAGACGAUGGCUGAGGCACUUGUAUCUCCGAUCUUGGAGCAGUUAACCACGAUCGUUGUUCAACAGGUAUUUUUCUACCAUCUGCAAUAACCUGAUUUACCUAGCAGGGAUAAGAAAUAUAAAGGUCAAGCCUUUUUUCUUCCUAUCAUAAAAAGAAUACUUUUAACUUGAAUAAAUGAAAAUGGUAUAUGUUUGGAUUUUAUUAAAGAAUCUUCUUUUUGUUGUUUUAUUAUUUUUCAUAAUUCCAAAAAUAACCUAAAGAAAAUAUAUCAUUCCAAAUAUAGGAAAACCGAAAAAGGCAAAACAAGAGUUGCCAAUUCUCUUUAAACUGAACUAUUAAGGGUAAAAUAAUCAAUAAAAAGUUCAGAGGAUUAGCGAGCGAGUGUAUAUAUAUAUAUAUAUAUAUAUAUAUAUAUAUAUAUAUAUAUAAGGUAAAAUAUAUCUAUAGUUUAAUGUAAAAUAAAAACCAGAUUUUAUGUCGGUUCAAAGGAGAAAUCCUUCUCUCGUGAGAACAUUAAACUCUUUCCAUGCCUAUAUUAAUUAUAUAUAUAUACGUACAAGUUUAACGUUGUACCAUUUAAGAUUCAUUUUAUACCUUCUUAUACAGUAGCAUAGUGCAGACUGAUAUCAUCAUAAUGAUGAUAAAAAGAAAAAAGAAAUAUUAUUAUUUCUAAUAAAUAUUUUACAUAUAAAUUAUUAAUAUAGUAAAUCCAUUUCACAAUAAAAUAUAUUAAUACAAAAUAGAAAUGUUUCCUGUGCUUGAACUUCCUUGUCUUUUCUACACUAAUAGGUACAGGAAGAGGUGAACCUAGUAGGGGGUGUGAAAUUGUCUUGAAAUCACAGAAAUGUUUCCUAUGCUUAACGUUUCUUUUCCUUUGUACACUAAUAGGUACAAGAAGAGGUGAACCUCGUAGUGGGUGUGAAGAAACAAGUCGACAAGCUGAAAAGACAUCUCCUUGCUAUCCAAUCUCGCAUUGAAGAUGCAGAUAGAAAACAAGUGAAAGAUGAGGCUGUAAAGGAUUGGCUAGACAAGCUCAAAGAUGUAUGUUAUGAUAUCGAUGACGUGCUAGAUGAAUGGAGCACUGCAAUUCUUAGAUGGAAAAUGGAGGAAGCUGAAGAAAAUACUCGCAGCCGACAGAAGAUGCGAUGUUCCUUCCUGAGAUCUCCUUGCUUUGGUCUCAAUCAAGUGGGUCAACGUCGGGACAUUGCCCUUAAGAUCAAAGAAGUAUGUGAAAAAAUGGAUGACAUUGCCAAAGAGAAAGCUAUGGAUGGCUUUGUUCCGUACAGAGCCACCGAUGAACUACAACGACUAAUAAGUACCUCCUUUGUUGAUGAAUCAAGCGUGAUUGGUCGAGAUGUUGAAAAGAAAACUGUUGUAAGCAAGUUGGUGGGUGAAAGUAGUCAGGAAGCACGGGACGUUGAUGUCAUCUCUCUAGUAGGGCUGGGUGGAAUGGGAAAAACAACUCUCGCCCAACUAGCUUUUAAUGAUGCUGAGGUUACGGCUCAUUUUGAGAAAAAGAUAUGGGUGUGUGUUUCAGAACCGUUUGAUGAGGUUAGAAUAGCAAAAGCAAUCAUUGAGCAGCUUGAAGGGAGUCCAACGAAUUUGGUUGAAUUGCAAUCCCUUUUGCAAAGGGUUUCUGAAUCCAUUACUGGAAAGAGGUUCCUUCUUGUCCUGGAUGAUGUCUGGACAGAAAAUCAUAGACAAUGGGAACCACUGAAACUCUCUCUCAAAGGCGGUGCACGAGGAAGCAGAAUUCUAGUGACCACUCGUAAGGACGCUGUGGCAACGAAAUUGGGAACUGACCACCGGAUCAACAUUGAGAAAUUGUCCGAUGAGAUAUGCAGGUCAAUAUUCAAUCAUGUGGCAUUCCAGGAAAGAAGCAAAGAUGAGCGCGAAAGAUUGACAGAUAUCGGCGAUAAAAUUGCAAACAAGUGCAAGGGCUUGCCUCUAGCUGCCAAGGUAUUAGGAGGUCUAAUGCAGUUUAAAAGAACAAGAGAAGAGUGGGAACGUGUUUUAUCUAGCGAACUGUGGAGGCCAGAUGAGGUUGAUAGAGACCAGGUUGAAAGACAAAUAUUUAUACCGUUGCUUUUGAGUUACUACGAUUUACCUUCUGUGGGAAGACGAUGUUUCUUGUAUUGUGCCAUGUUUCCAAAAGACUACGAGAUGGACAAAGAUGAAUUGGUGAAGAUGUGGAUGGCUCAAGGUUACCUCAAGGAGACUUCAGGUGGAGAUAUGGAGCUUGUAGGAGAGCAGUACUUUCAAGUCUUAGCAGCGCGCUCUUUCUUCCAAGAUUUUAAGACGUAUGGUCGAGAAGGUAUUGCAUUCAAGAUGCAUGAUAUAGUGCAUGAUUUUGCCCAAUAUAUGACAAAAAAUGAAUGUCUAACAGUGGACGUCAAUAACCUUGGAGAAGCAACAGUGGAGACUUCAAUUGAAAGGGUUCGUCAUUUAAGCAUGAUGCUGUCAGAGGAGACUUAUUUUCCCGAGUUCAUUCAGAAAGCAAAAGGUCUUCGCAGCCUCUUGAUCAACACUAGAGACCCUUCACUUGGAGCUGCACUUCCUGAUCUAUUCAAGCAGUUGACAUGCAUCAGGUCAUUGAAUUUGUCAGAGUCUUCAAUCAGAGAAUUGUCAGAGUCUUCAAUCAAAGAAAUACCAAACGAGGUAGGGAAAUUGAUACAUUUGAGACACGUCAAUUUUGCAUAUUGUUAUCAGUUGGAGUCCCUGCCAGAAACCAUGUGUGAUUUAUGCAAUCUGCAAUCCCUAGACGUUACUUGGUGUGGUUCUCUCAAGGAAUUGCCUAAGGCGAUUGGAAAACUUAUCAAAUUGAGGCAUCUCCAGAUUGAUGGUUCAGGUGUGGCCUUCAUACCAAAGGGAAUAGAGAGGAUAACAUGUCUUCGAACAUUAGAUGUGUUUAAAGUUUGUGGCGGUGGUGAGAAUGAAAGUAAAGCAGCUAAUCUAAGAGAAUUAAAAAACUUAAAUCACAUUGGAGGGAGUCUUAACAUACGGAAUCUAGGAGGAGGUAUAGAAGAUGCGAGUGACGCUGCAGAAGCACAACUCAAGAAUAAGAAGCGCCUGCGUCGUUUGGAAUUGGUUUUCGACAGAGAGAAAACAGAGUUGCAAGCGAAUGAAGGCUCUUUAAUUGAAGCUUUACAGCCUCCGUCAGACUUGGAAUAUCUGACCAUAUCUAGUUACGGAGGGUUUGAUUUGCCAAAUUGGAUGAUGACAUUGACCAGAUUACUGGCUCUUGAACUGCAUGAUUGUACAAAGCUGGAGGUCUUGCCUCCGUUGGGAAGAUUGCCCAACCUUGAAAGCCUGGCAUUCUGGUCGUUGAAGGUGAGAAGGCUGGAUGCUGGAUUUUUAGGUAUAGAAAAAGAUGAGAAUGCCAGUAUUAAGGAAGGAGAAAUUGCAAGGGUCACUGCUUUUCCCAAAUUAAAAACACUUGAGAUUUGGCAUCUCGAAGAAGUAGAAGAGUGGGAUGGAAUUGAAAGGAGAUCAGUGGGAGAAGAAGAUGCCACCACAACUUCAAUAAUAUCCAUGAUGCCACAACUUCGAUGGUUGAGAAUUAUCAAUUGCCCGUUGCUGAGAGCACUACCAGACUAUGUUUUGGCAGCGCCUCUACAGGAAUUAGACAUAAGGUGGUGCACCAUUCUAAGGAAACGUUACGGGAAGGAGGAGAUGGGUGAAGAUUGGCAAAAGAUUUCUCACUUCCCAAACAUUUAUUUUGAAUAAUAUGUAAGCCUUACCAUUUACUCUAUGUGACCUCUUUACUGUAAAAUCCAAGACCUAUCACUGAUCAUGGCAAGACUCACUCCUCUAUUUCCAGAUCCAAAAAUGUCAAGAUAUUUUUAAUUCUUUAAUUCUAUGAAUAAAAACAUAGAUAUUGAAUUUUUUUUUUAAUCUUUCAUAAAUUGAAUUCAAUUUUCGAAAACUUUCUACAAAUCUAAAUAUGGAUAUUGAAAACGACAUCAAAAUAGGAACUUUCAUAGGUUUCCACACACUCCCAUAUGCCUUGAGCUUAAGCGCAGGUGGACAUCUUUUUUUUCUUUUUCUUUUUUUCCAAGACAAAUGCUGCAACCUAUUAAUCAUCCAUGAGCCAUGUGUGCAUACCGCACGCCUCCUUACAGGGCAUCUUCACUGCCGGACUGGUGGGAUUCAUAUAGACUUCAUAUGUGCUACUUUGAGGCUCCAUAUCUCCGUUUCUAGUGUUCUUGAACUCGUCAGAGAGCUUACACUGCAUGCUAUCUAUAACAACAGAUAUCAAGCACAGACAAUAAAGCAUAAGAAAAUUACAAGACAGAAAAACCAAUUCAUCGUAAUUCAAACGCUGAAAUCUCUCAGCAUACAAGUCCAAUUUACACGCCAUUUCCCAGAUUUAGUGCUCGUGGCAGAUGCACAUGAGGUAAUCAUUUCAUGCUAUUUGAUGCUUUCUAAAGUUACCAUAUAUGUCCAUAAUACGAGUUUGAAACAGAAACUGAUGCAAACAGCCAUAUUAAUCAUCCAUGAGCCAAAAAUUAAGAACUGCAAGAGUAAAAUGAACUGACUUCUUACUGCAAAAUGUGAACAGGCAAACGGUGGAUUUGGAAAUCAAGGGGGCAAGAAAAACCUUGUAAUUCAAAUAGGUGCACAGGCUAGGUGUGACAACCCUUUUAAUUCAUGAUCAGUGUAAAAUAUCUAUGGUUGUGGUAAUGCUAAUUAGAGUUGUUGAAUUAUAUUGCAAUGCAAUUCCAUGAUGUAAAAGUAUUUUUCAACUUGGAUUAAACUCACUUAAUUAGUUUAUUAAUUUGUACAAAAAUAGUUUUAUUUCAUAAAAUCUCAUAAAAUAGAAAUUACAAAUAGUAAUUCAACUCAUAAUUUCAUGCUCUCUCUUAUAUAAAAUUUUAAUUUGAACUAAACUAUUCUUUAUAGAAUGAAGUAUUAUUGCUUUCCAUCUAGAAAUGAAACACAAUAAAUUAUUUCAUAAAACAAUACAUGCAAAAUAAUUCAAUACUACUUAUAAAAGAAAAACCAUUUUAAAGUAUUAAGUCAAAAAUUCAGGAUGUUUUAAAGUAAUCCCUAGUAAUUUUGAUUUUCUCAUAAAUCUAAUUUUAUUGAGUGAAUGAAAGAUUUCAAAUAUAUAGUACGUAGUAUAUAAAUAAUUUUCUGAACCAAAGAAAGAUUUCAAAUAUAUAGUACGUAGUAUAUAAAUAAUUUUCUGAACCAAAGAAAAAACAGAAUUUUAGGAGUGAUUUAAAAUCAUGAACUAGAAUUUAAGUAUUCAAGUUGAGCAUAUUAAAUUUGAAUUCCCAGUCGUUCAAGUGCAUGGGACACAAAUCCUUCUUCAAGAAUCGUUGUGUUUUCUUCCCCUCGGAACCCAUUAAAACAUGGAGCCCAAAAGUAUUUAGAUUGCCCAAUUCACCAAGUCAUAAUGAGAGAACCCAAGCCCAAGCAGAGUACUCUGGGCUAAUUCAUUUUAUUUAGUACUAUGAUUAUUAUAUGCACUCCAUUAAUUAUUAGUUCCACUUCAUUUUGUAGCCACGAUGAUCAAUUAUGCAUAUGACCUCACCUCAACACUAGUUUUGUACCCGCACUCUGCAAUGAGGUGCAUAUAGUGUUUUUUCAGAGCAUCAAAGCAUUGACUAAGAAAGACUGACUGAAUUGAAACAGAACGCAACGAGACUUUUGGGUUUGAAACUAAUCCAGUGAAGACAGCAAAUAACCUUCUUCUUUUUUUUUUGUAAGGGAAGGCAAAUAGAAUGAGUUUAAAGCAUAAUGACUUAAUUGCAAAAUGCAUAUGAAUGCAGUUUUUUGACAAGGGAGUUUGGUGUUCCUGAAGCAGCAACAAUGGCUGCUAAGCUACGCAUAAUUUGUUGUCUUGUUCCCAACAAUGCCAUUCUGAUCCCAAACGCUGCUGAGUCUAGCAUGCUGAUUUCCUCACUAAUUUCGAUCUGAAUUUCAAUUUCCAGAUUUCAUAACCUUAGCCCUUAUUUUAGUAACCAAACAACUCUCUUCCUAUGUUCCUGCAUCUGCAUGUCGACUCUUCACUCUCUGAUUCCUGAAUCUUGAAAAGACUCUUCCUUUGUUUUUCUAGUUGUCUUGCGUUAUGUUUCUAGCUAAAAGAAGAAAUAAGUGACUUAAAUUAUGAAAAAGUAGAAAAAGACAAUGAAAGAAGUGCCUUAAAUCACGUUAAGUUAAGAAAGGAAUGAAAAGAAAAAAAGAAGAAAGGAAGGUGAUGUAGUCCAUACAAAAUGAAUCCUUUCCUCCAGAAAAUCUUGCUCAUUUCUUGUCCUUUUCACACCCAUUUGCUCCCCUUCACAAACAAACCUCCCCAUUUAAAGGAGCUCCAAUCACGCAAACCAGCAAUCCUUCCCAACUUUUUUCCAUGACCACAGCACGCUACUGAUAUCCACACAGCCCCAGCUUCAGACAGCUUCCAUCACGCAGACCCUUUCCUGUUAACACAACCGCAGAGCCUGUAGCUGCCGCCAACAAAACCCCAGCAUCCUCUCCAUGAAUAAACCAAAACACAUCCCUGCUCAUCCACUGAUAACUCCUUAAACUACCCAGAUACAUGACUUCCAAAAGGUAUAUGAUUUUUAAAGUUAAAUGUAACCUCUAAAAGUAUGGAGAGUUGGGGACUUGAAUUAUUCUUUGCACGGUGACAAAUGAAUUCUAGAAUUUAGAUUUUUAUUUCCCAUCUAAAUAUUAAAAUAUUUGACAUUAAAGAUAUUUUAAUAUAUUUUUAAACAAAAAAAUAUAUAUAAAAAAUACUUUACAGCAUAAUUUCAAGCACCAUCAACAAAUCCAAUCAUACAACCUCAACAAAUCUGGACCAUCCAUUUUCAGACCCAAAAUCAAAGAUCAAUAUCAAACCCCAGUCCCUGCUAUGAAAACAGGAUAAAAUCACCAGAUCUCAAAAACCCAGAUAGAUAGAUGCUUGUUUAUAUUUCCAUUACACAAGAACUAAUUGGUUACUAAUUUUGGUUUGUUUAAAUUAGUUUGAAUGGCCAGAUAUAUAUUACAUAAAAUGAAGAGAAGAAAUAGAGAAGCAGGAAUUUCAGUAGAAUGCUAUAAUCAGAUGUCCAUAUCAGAUACAUUCUUAACCUACGGUCAGUAUCAAUAAAAAAUAAUUGCUAUAUAUCGAAGAAGAAAUUACUUUCCACAAAUAAUAAUCCUUAGCCUAGAACUCGGUAGAAUUGAAAAGCACGAGUGUUUCACCUUUGGAACUCAAAAUGGCAUGUCAUUCUCAGUAGAAACAUACAACCAGGACUAGACUGAAAAGCUACAAUAAUAUAGGGACUGAAUUGAAGUGUUAGAAACAGUACAGGGACUGAAACAAAACUCAACCCCCAUCACCAAACCCUAAGUACAUAAACUAACUAAACCAGCAGCCUCCUUCCACUCACACUCUCUUCUCUCUCUUUCUCAGUUCAUCCUAACAUCAUUGUCUAUUUUUUAAAAAUAAUUAAAUUAAACAGACAAAUGGCAGAGGCACUUUUAUCGCCAAUUUUGGAGCAGCUAACCACGGUCGUUGCUCGACAGGUAAUUACUUUUAUACAAUUUGCAAUGAUCUAAUUAACCCUUACAUUAAUAAGAAAUAUAAAAAUGAUCUCUUUUUCUUUCUUUAUAAGAAAAACAAAAUAAAAUAUCAAAUCCUCAGAUCUAGAUUUGGAUUUUAUUAAAGAAAUUUCUAUUUAUUGUUUUAUUAUUUUUCAUAUUUCUGGAAAUAAUCUAAAACAAAUAUUCUUAGAAGGAAAAUGGAGUUGUCGAUCCUCUCAUAAAACUGAACUACUAAGGGUAAAAUAAUCAAUCAGAUGUUAAAAUAAUAAGUUUCAUAAUCUUAUUAUAAUACCAACAAAUAUUUAUUUCCAAAUAGAUUUUACGAAUACCAACAAAUACAGAUCCUUUUAUUCUCAAUAUUUCUUUGAUCCACCAAGCUUAUGUUAUAUAUAGGUUUGACGUUGAACAAUUUAAGAUUCAUUUUCUUCCUUCUUGUAUAGUAGCAGAGUGCAGACAGAGAUAUCAUCAUGAUGAUGAUAAAAAUAAAUAUUAUUAUUUUUAAUAUAUUGGUUUUUAAUAAAUAUUUUAUAUAUAAAUUAUUAAUAUAGCCAAUCCAUUUCACAGUACGUGUCAACUACUGCGAAAAAAAACAGAUUAAUAAAAAUUAUCUAAUCUAUUAAUUACCAAAAAUUAAAAUUAAAAACUUGCAGUGAAAUCAUGGAAAUGUUUCCUCUGCUUGAACUUCUUUAUCUUUUCCACACUAAUAGGUACGAGAAGAGGCCUAGUGGGGGAUGUGAAGAAACAAGUCGACAAGCUGAAAAGCAAUCUCCUUGCUAUCCAAUCUGUCCUUGAAGAUGCAGAUAGACAACAAGUGAAGGAUAAGGCUGUAAGAGAUUGGCUAAACAAGCUCAAAGAUGUAUGUUAUGAUUUGGAUGACGUGCUCGAUGAAUGGAGCACUGCAAUUCUUAGAUGGAAAAUGGAGGAAGCUGAAGAAAAUACUCGCAGCCGACAGAAGAUGCGAUGUUCCUUCCUGAAAUCUCCUUGCUUCUGUCUCAAUCAAGUGGUUCAACGUCGCGACAUUGCCCUCAAGAUCAAAGAAGUUAGUGAAAAAGUGAAUGACAUUGCCAAAGAGAGAGCAAUGUUUGGCUUUGAGUUGUACAGAGUCACUGAUGAACUCCAGCGACUAACAACUACCUCCUUUGUUGAUGAAUCAAGCGUGAUUGGUCGAGAUGGUGAAAAGAAAAAUGUUGUAAGCAAGUUGCUGGCUGAAAGUAGUCAAAAAGCACGGGACGUGGAUGUCAUCUCUCUAGUAGGGCUGGGCGGAAUUGGAAAAACAACUCUCGCCCAACUAGCUUUUAAUGAUUCUGAGGUUACGGCUCAUUUUGAGAAAAAGAUAUGGGUGUGUGUUUCAGAUCCAUUUGAUGAGGUUAAAAUAGCCAAAGCUAUCCUUGAGCAGCUUGAAGGGAGUGCACCGAAUUUGGUUGAAUUGCAAUCCCUUUUGCAAAGGGUUUCUGAAUCCAUUAAGGGAAAGAGGUUCCUUCUUGUCCUUGAUGAUGUAUGGACAGAAAAUCAUGGACAAUGGGAAAAACUGAAACCAUCUCUCACAGGCUGUGCACGAGGAAGCAGAAUUCUAGUGACCACUCGUAAGGACGCUGUGGCAACGAUGAUGGGAAGUACUGGCCACCGGAUCAACAUUAAGGAAUUGUCCGACGAGAUAUGCAGGUCAAUAUUCAAUCAUGUGGCAUUCCAGGAAAGAAGCAAAGAUGAGCGCGAAAGAUUGACAGAUAUCGGCGAGAAGAUUGCAAGCAAGUGCAAGGGCUUGCCUCUAGCUGCCAAGGUAUUAGGAGGUCUGAUGCAGUUUAAAAGAACAAGAGAAGAGUGGGAACGUGUUUUAUCUAGCGAACUGUGGGAGCUAGAACAUGUUGAAAGGAGACUAUUUCCACCUUUGCUUUUGAGUUACUACGAUUUACCUUAUGUGGAAAGACGAUGUUUCUUGUAUUGUGCCAUGUUUCCAAAAGACUACGACAUGCGCAAAGAUGAAUUGGUGAAGAUGUGGAUGGCUCAAGGUUACCUGAAGGAGACAUCAGGUAGAGAUAUGGAGGUUGUUGGAGAGGAGUACUUUCAAGUCUUGGUAGCACGCUCUUUCUUCCAAGAUUUUAAGAAGUAUGGUCUAGAAAAUAUCAGAUUCAAGAUGCAUGAUAUAGUGCAUGAUUUUGCCCAAUAUAUGACAAAAAAUGAAUGUCUAACAGUGGAUGUCAAUACACUUGGAGGAGCAACAGUGGAGACUUCAUUUGAAAGGGUUCGUCAUUUAAGCAUGAUGCUGUCAGAGGAGACAUCUUUUCCCGUGUCUAUUCACAAAGCCAAAGGUCUUCGCAGCCUCUUGAUCGACACUAGAGACCCUUCGCUUGGAGCUGCACUGCCUGAUUUGUUCAAGCAGUUGACAUGCAUCCGGUCAUUGGAUUUGUCAAAGUCUUCUAUCAAAGAAAUACCGAACGAGGUAGGGAAAUUGAUACAUUUGAGACACCUCAAUCUGGCAUCUUGUGGAGAGUUGGAGUCCCUGCCAGAAACCAUGUGUGAUUUAUGCAAUCUGCAAUCCCUAGACGUUACUUGGUGUGGUUCUCUCAAGAAAUUGCCUAAUGCGAUUGGAAAACUUAUCAAAUUGAGGCAUCUCCGGAUUAAUGGUUCAGGUGUGGACUUCAUACCAAAGGGAAUAGAGAGGAUAGCAUGUCUUCGAACAUUAAAUGUGUUUAUUGUGUGUGGUGGUGGUGAGAAUGAAAGUAAAGCAGCUAAUCUAAGAGAAUUAAAAAACUUAAAUCACAUUGGAGGGAGUCUUGGGAUACGGAAUCUACAAGAUGCGAGUGACGCUGCAGAAGCACAACUCAAGAAUAAGAAGCGCCUGCUUCGUUUGGAAUUGGAUUUCGACUACAACCAGGAGAGCGGCAUUUUAAUUGAAGCUUUACGGCCUCCGUCUGACUUGAAAUAUCUAACCAUAUCUAGGUACGGAGGGUUGGAAUUGCCAAGUUGGAUGAUGACAUUAACCAGAUUACAGGAGCUUAUACUGUCUGAUUGUACAAAGCUGGAGGUCAUGCGUCCGUUGGGAAGAUUGCCCAACCUUGAAAGCCUGGUAUUGAGGUCGUUGAAGGUGAGAAGGCUGGAUGGUGGAUUUUUAGGUAUAGAAAAAGAUGAGAAUGCCAGUAUUAAUGAAGGAGAAAUUGCAAGGGUCACUGCUUUCCCCAAAUUAAAAACACUUUGGAUUGGUA